rnacentral:lncRNA from 1 species
UUGGGUCGACCUCGAAGGUUCGUGCCUUGGUACACAUAUAAGGCCAAUACGGACUCGCAUUACAGAAAAAACCGGCUCCCGCAUACAAUGGAGAAGGAAUAUAGAGAGUCGAGGAAAUCAUCGAUGCGGAGCACUGGGUACGUCAGACUGCAGCUUUUCAGGCAGUGGUGGUAGCAUCUCCAUUCUGAGCAUCCUCUACCUUGGUUUCCGGCCCAUCAGACACGUGAUUGUUAGCAUUUGCCUCUCCUGGUUCUGCUUUCCUCUUCCGGACCAGCUCCACAUCUGCUGAUCCAACUGGCUUUUCGUCGGCAUGAGAUGCUGGUUCUCUUGCCUUAGCCUCACUUGCAAGAGGAGCAGCCCAGGAUAUGGGGUUAACUGGGAGAAAAACACAAACAUGAGAUGGUCUGCACUUAACCAAAUUGGUUUUGAAAAGCACCUGAUAAAAUGCACCAAGCAACCGUUACCAAUUUCACGAAUCAAUGAAGGAAUACAUGUGCCAAGCAGUAUGGUUCAACUAGUGUCUUGACCAUGUGUACUAGCCAAUACUUCUCAAGCAGAUUAAAGGAAAAUAGUUUUGAGUUCUCACGUUAUAGUUGGAAUACUUGGAUGGAUAAUCAUAAUUCAUGACUACCAUUUACGACAAAGAUAUAAUCUAGCAAAGCAGUAAGAAAAACUUUAUAUAGUACUCCCUCCGUUUCCAAAUAUAAGUCUUUUUAGAGAUUCCAAUACAAAGAACAUACGGAUAUAUAUAGACAUAUUUUAGAGUGUAGAUUCACUCAUUUUGCUCCGCAUGUAGUCUCUUAUUGAAAUAUCUAAAAAGACUUAUAUUUAGGAACGGAGGGAGUAUAUUAUGCUUUAACAAAUCAUGAUGAGUUCAUUUACACAGCGUACACACCUUCCACUGGUUGAACAGGCUUAGUUGUUGCUUCAUCACUUGGACUUGCGUUCUUAGGGCGCUUUUUGACAUAGUUCUGCCGCAGAGGUCUAGGAAUCUGGAAGGAAAACUGAGCUAAUGUUACACCCUGUGCACCAUACUCUGGAUUUUCUUGGAGGUACCUGCAAAGUAUGGCAUAGAAAGUUUAGACCAUAGACAGAUGAGUCGCACGUAGCAAUUUUAGAGACAACAAAAGAGGCAGUAUUGACCAUGCACACAUGUUGUCAGCUACAGACCCUUAUCCACCGUUGGAUCAGAUAGGAGGUUUUUCAUCCAAUUCCCUUCUGUAGCACUACCCUAAAGCUGCAAGAGCCUCAUAGGCAAGCAGCCAAGCACACACACGCUCAUCGGCCCAUGCACCUGAGUUGAAUUUGUAAGCUUUUGCACGAUGUUGCAUACUUGCAUGACACAAAACUAAUUUGACACCAUGCAAUCAUUGGCGACUUUCAGUCUGUCCCCGUGCACAAAUUUGAACCUUUGAGUUUCUAGGGAUCCAUUAGUCCAAUAUUAUACGCUAUAAGAGGGAUCCCAUUAGUAUCAGCACAAAUAAGAGGGAACCCAUUAUCGUACGCCGUAUAAAAGAGAGGCGCCUUAAAGUGCAUCAUAGGGGGUAUGGUAGCGGUCUUAAUUAUUUGCCUAAAGUUUCCGGUUAAGUGUUCAUAGGGACCCACGCAUAAGACAGACUACAAAGCAGAAUGAUGUGCAUAGCUUCCCACAUAUGUGCAAAAUCUGUUUCUAGUUCACUAUGGAAUACCAUUUUAUGAAAAAUGGUUCAGGAGUUUGCAAUCCCAGUUCUCGUGUACCACUCAUAUGCAUAUAUAGAUAUUAUACUUCUUUAUCAAUUUAGAUGUACUCCGUUAGUAGUAACUAGGUACUUAUUAAUUGCAAUGUCCAGUUAUAAAAUAUGGAGAAGAAAGCAGCAUAAGAUUUGCAAUACAAGUGCUACUUCAUGUUUUGACUUCAGACACAAAUUUAAGGAAAUAAAUUACAGCUCAACAGAUGAAGAUUGAUGUUGAAAGGGACAUUUUGAGUAAAUUUGCAUCACGUACCGAUCAACUUCAACCAGUGAUCUCAGCUUCCUCGAAGUAGGAGAAGUGUAGUACCUGAAACCAAGAUAAAGGGCAUUACGGUAAUUACAGCAGCUGUAGCAAGGGUACAUGUUACAUUACAAUAAUGAAAUGAGGUUUUUUAGGACAGAUAUUGUCUAUUACUCCCUCUGACGUUUUAAGUCUUUAGUGACCUAAAAUGUCUUACAUUUGUUUACAGAGGGAGUAUAUCAUUACAAGAAUGUUAAAAAUGCAAGCCCAGAAAUUUCCACAUUAAUCAAGAGGACAAGAGAAGAUCUACCCUACCUAUUUUGGUGGGUCCAAAAUUAUGACCAUGUAGAUUUAUUAGUUUAUUUGUGCAACCCUUAUCAUUUGCUAAAUUCAGCAGAAGGUAGAUGAUUUAAUUUACCACCAAAAUAUACCAUUUGAAUGAAAAUGGAAUGCUGUUCUGGAACAACAUGAAAUGUCCGUUAACUAAAGCCUCUCAUCUUUGCAGCCUAUAUUACUUGUGUGAUGAGAACUAAGUGGAUCUUUCCACCUAUUCUACGUUUUCAACCGCCUUCUGUCGCCUUAAUUUCCAUAUGCGCCAUACAUGAAUCCAAUCAGCAGUUGUUUUUAGUGAUGCUGCCGGAUCAACUAAAGUUAUUGGUCUCCUCUCCAAUAAUCGAUAGCAAUGUCAACGCGAAAAAAUCUCCUCGAGAAAGAUGUUUACACCGCAAAAUGUCAUCAUGGAGUGUCAAACUGAUAGGCUGUCAGCAUAAACUAAUCCUUUUAUGAACUUGCUUCAGAAUAGAAUCAGGAGUUCAGGACAGCACUGAAACCUAGACUGACCAUGCCAAUGCACUAUUAGCCAAGUGGCCAACUUACAAGGGGCUGGCAAAACUUCAAGGGAUGGCAAAAACUGAAAAAAUGUGCGGUAUGAUUCACUGAUGCAGAAAAUCAGUACUCCGCGGCUCAACACAUAGAAGACUAAUUAUUCCCAGCCUCAAGAAGGCGACUACAGAAACAUGUCGAUAAUAAAUGGGCUCUCAUGCUUACGGCCAUAUUUCCUUGGUUCAUCCGAAGUAACAAGAAGCAGCAGAAUUGGCUCUUUCAUACAAGUUAUGCACCGCCAAAGAUGCUAAGGGUAACUAAGCAACUAGUGUGAUAUAAACUAGCACAAACUAAGCAUCCAUACAACAAUCUAACAUUUUGAUGCGGAAAGGUCCCCUUCACUUCCCUGGAGUUCAGGGGGGGUCAACUCGGAGAUCACCGUUAGGAAAAAGUAACAUGAUAUGCUUGGUAGUUUCUAUAUUCCCGACUUGAACUCUUCGUAACUGAGACAUAAAUGGUUUAUGUGUGCAACUUAGAAAAGGUGUGGUGUAGAAUGUGCGGGUUAAUUGGCUGAUUUUCUGUUAUUUCCAUGCGCAUUAAAAACUGAUUUUAACAUAUAGAGAUAAAGUGGCAGGCAAUUAAAAAAAAUCAAUGUACUUGCAGAAAUAGCCUGACAAGUAAAUAAAGGCAGUGACAGAAAAGCAUCACUCACACAUCAGCAAAUUUGGUGCCUCCUUCACCUCUUAUUCUAAUCUGCCUUUCCCAUCCAGCAGGAGGCUGUGCAAUAUUGGGUUUGUCGAUAGCCCAGAGUCUGCUUCCAUCCUGAGAAAUAUCUUCUUGAUCAUCGCAUGUUACAUCAGGUUUCCAUUCACGGGCUCGUUCGCAGUCAAAAGGUUCCUGUAUAAUAUGCUCGCGUAUUUCUUCAUACUUCUCUUUCGUUGGAAUAAGUCUCCAUUUGAAGCACCUAGCACAUUGGAUAGUGAAUGCCCCAAUACAUGGCGAUCCACGGUAUGACACGUUGGAAGCAGCUGAUUGCUGCAAUGGGGAACUGUCUUCUCCAAAUUCAUCUUGCACUUUAUCUACUGUUUCAAACUUCAAACCAGGCGUUUUAUCUGAUGCAGUUUCAGACGGAAGCUCGUCAUUCUCAAAUUGGUGGCCGUCUGUACCAGACAAACUAGUACGGCUCUUCUUCAAUGGUUGGGGAGAUUUAGAACUGUCCAUAGGUUCUGCAAGAGAUUGCCUGCACAACUUCCAAAUUAUUAGGGCCUAAGUACCUGCAGUUGGUAUCCAUAAUCAUAAGAACUCCGUGAUGUAACAAAUAUGAUGUGGAUGCAAAUUUAAUAGAAAGCAGAUGCCCAGCCCACUGAUAGAUAUCAACAAGAAGAUAACUCGAAUUAACUGCACAAAAAAGCUAAACAAAAUGAAGUUGUUCUGUCUUCCAACAAUAAUUUUGAACGUUGUCCAACUAUGUGUGAUAAUACCAGUAUUAGCCACGAGGCUCCCAAGUACAUAAUGAUCACGUAAGUGUAACUUGGAUGAAAUAUUACAAUCAUUGUGCAAAUUACAUGCUCAGCCUUUGGACAAGUGUAAACAAUAGAGUGAACAGAGAAUGUUGCACAUGAGAUCGGAUAAUUUUUACUUCUGUAAUACAAUAGAAACGUAAAAACCAGAUAGAGAUGGACUUGUUCCGAACCCACACAAAUUUAGAACGGAUAACCAAGUGAAACAUGAUCGUUUACUAAUCAAUAAAAAUUUCUUCAGGUGCAUUUGCUAACCCAAGUUUGGUCUAAUUUAUACUGUAUACUGUAGUACGUAUAACACCCAAGAAAACCAUCAUGUUCCAAAAAUACUUAUCAUUUUUCAAAGGAAAACAAUACUCCCUCCAUCCCAUAAUAUAAGAUGUUAUUACAAUUGAUAUAUGAGUCUAUUGGUUGUAAUAACAUCUUAUAUUAUGGGACGGAGGGAGUACAUAUGAUUUUUCAAGUUUUCAAUCCCAAUAUUUAAAAUGAUAUUAGCAAACUGGCAGUCAAAGUUUUUUUUUUUACUGAAGGUAUGUCCAAAACGCCCCUUAUUUGUGAACUGGGGGUAGUAGUUCAACAAUAAUGCAGUAACUUUAAGCCUCAGCUUAGCACACAAAUUUGCAAUCUUCUUGGUUUCCCUUUACAACAGAUGAACAGGCUGUCAGUUGCAGAUAUUUUUCUUCACACUUCCAAAUCAUCCUUCAACAAGUCCUAUUUUACUAUAACAUGUUAACAUCUAUAACUUCACAGUGGGUGUAACAGAAAAGAAAUUUCAGUUGUCAGAGACACCUACAUGAAAGUAACUUGAAUUGCAGUGCAGGUCACUGCAGAGCAACACAAGCAUCACUCCAACUAACAAACCAGAUUGUUUUAGUAGAUUGGUCCAUGUAUACAUGCAUAUGCUCCCACACGCCAGUCCUCAGGACCAAGCAUCUGUAAUGACACUUUCCAUGGUGGGGGCGUUUGUUUGGCUAGAAACAAGUACAACAGGGUCAGGUGAGGCUAAAGGAGGAGCAUACAGAGUGGGAGUUUGGAAGUCAGGACGGUAGUAGCAACUAUAAAAUAUAUGGUUUGGAGAGUCGAUUCUGCAGAUGCAACCAUGGAUGGGAAUGUAAUUGAUAAAAUGCUAAUCUGGAAUCCAGAGGAAUGUGGAUGAGAAGUGCGCAUGAGGAAAGGGCCAACAGUGAUGCCAGUGCUAGAGUUUUAGAUUUACAAUAUCGCUUAGUAGCUGCUUCUAUAACUAGUGGAUUCAUAAAUAUAUCCAUCGUUUUGCCAAGUCAUGUCUGUGUUACUAAGAUGGCUAGUAAAUGGUGUGUGCAUAGCACGUAGGGGCAAAGUGCUUAAGAAUUUACAACACUCGAAACAAUUAUAUAUAUAAUUUUUCUGGAACUUUUUUAAUUGACCAUACUAAUUUUGCUUCCUUUCGUAAGAAUUGGAUGAGUGUAGAAUGUCAAAGUACGGUAGGCGUGAUUCAAAAUGUAGCAUGAAUACCCAGCCAAGUGUAACGCAGAACUGCUGCUAUAUGCACGAAGACAGCAGAUUGUGCUCCGGUGCAUCGUAGCUGACUGUCAUUAACCACUUUUAUUUAUUUUAGCUAUUCACUAGUACUCUGUAUGGGCCAACAGGGCAGGAAGCACGGUAGUGCAGUUCAAUUGUGGUGUAGGCUUGUGAGUCGUUUCGACUGCCUUUUCCGCAUGUGGGACCAGUGCUCUGUGCGAACGCAAGCCGUCAGAUGAAAUACAAACACAGCCCACAUUGCAGGGAUUCGCUCAUGUCUCACCGUCCGAUUCAUUCAAUCAAUGGCCAAAACUGCUCCUACUUUAGCAGGAACACCUUAGAUGCAGGCUAAAUCCAGAUUCAACAACUGGUGUACUAUAUAUAGGUUAAACAAUCUGGGCGGCUUAAGCGAACUGACUAGGUUAGAACACAAAGCACUCGCCGCAAUUACACUUUCCACUACUACGUAUGUACCAAUAGCUAGAGCCCGAUCUGGCAAUGCAGUACCUUCGCCCGCUGCUGCAUCCUGUCCAGCCGGCCACCGCCCGGAUCAAUGACAACAAGGCGGCAGAUCUGGAAAGGAGGGAAGCGGGGGCGACGAUUCCAGCGACUGGAAGGCUUUGUUUUGGCGGCAACGGUGCCCGCCGACGGACUCGCCAGAGGCGGCUUCAAUUCACUAUAUUGUGGGGUUUUGAGCUUCACUGUCUUAAUAGGUUCAACAAAAGCAUGCACAUCGCGCACGCAUGAAUACCCCCGACACGCUGAAUGUUUGUCGGUAUCCACAGCAGUCAAGGAAAUUUGUACACAAUAAGCAGAUCUCCGCACCAGAGAGGGGCGGAUCUAGAUGGUGCGUUGGGUGUGCGCCCGGAAGCUGCCAAGGCCGGUGGGAUUUAACUAAUCGCUGGAUGAAAACAACCUCGUACCUCGAAACCUAAUGCCUGGCGAUGCCGCGAAAGGGAACGCCGAAUGGCUCGCGAUCUCCCGACGGGGAAGGACGGGAAAGGGACGCGCGCGUGAGAGCCGGGGGUGCUGAGAGAGGGGGGCGGGGUCGGGGCAGUUGACGGCGACGCUAGGGUGCGGGCACGGCGGCAGCUCUGGGGCGCGGUGUAGGCUACGGGGGAGCUUUAGACCGUGCCGCCGUGCUGCUAGGUCAUGGACUCGGGAUGGGAGAUAGAGCAAAGGUGCGGGGAAGGGGAGUACCUCUGAGGAGAGAUCGAGGCCGGUACGGGCGGCUGGCGGUAGGGGUUGGAGAGCUCCGGUGGUGGUCGCCGCCGGCGGCGGCGGAUGGGUUGGGGGAUUAGAGGGCUGACUAGCCUUCUCCGUCCGCCUGCGUGACGCACUCACGCCCGAUCGGCCUGAAAAUAAAGCACGCGACCUGGUCCAAAUGAGAAAAAAUCCAGCCCAGGUGAAGAGAGAGAAAAAAAAACUCAGAGGCUUGUGAGGCCAACUCCACCGCGCGACCCUAUCACGUCCACCCCCGUCCGUUUGGGGUAAAACGGACCAAUAGCACACCCCAGCGCACGGCCUCAAACGGACAAAUGUUCGGAUUCCGUCCGUUUUCGACCCAUCCCGGCCCAAACUUGCGCUCGGUUUGGGGUGAAACGGACGCGCGCGGACGGCUUGGACGCACGCCCUUGUCCCCCCUGCCCCGCCUGUCGGGGACACUAGCAGUCCCUUCGCUCCCAAACGCUUCCACCCUCUCUCUCUCGCCCCGCCCCACCGUCACCGCCGCCGCUAUUCUUCGGCCGCCUCCUCACCGCGCAGCCUCCGGCCGUCCCUACCAAACCACUUCUCGACAUGGCUGCCACCACGCCCGUGCUGUGGCCGUAGUUUUGGCCGUCGAUCGGAGGUUUGGCCGUCGACAUCUUUGCCGGCCGCAGAGGGGACAGGACCGCCGGCGACGCAGCACGGCGUCCUCGGCAGCUCCCGACGAGAGCUCCACAGCGGCCAGUAGCCGGCCGGCAACCAUCCCUGGUGCGUCGAGGUGAUCUUCGCCACCACGCCCGCAGGGUGUUCGGCAUUUUGCCCACAAAGGUAUGGACAGUGGAGAUGAGUUUUUCUUCCAUCACUUUCUUUGUUCAUCGGACGAUUCGUCGUCGGAUGAUGAAGAUAUUGUGGUGGAUGCACUGGUCGUUCACGACCACAUUCAACGGCAGCUUCCUCGGUACAGGGGGCCACUCUCUGGUCGUGCUCCCAACCUGAACCGCAACAGGGAGAGAGGGCACGCCCUGCUCUAUGCCGAUUACUUUGCCAACACCCCGCUCUUCAAGCCGAAUAAAUUCCGUUGCCAUUUUCGAAUGGCAAGGCAUGUGUUCAAUCGUAUCCGAGAGGGAGUGGUUGCUCAUGACCCAUACUUCGAGUGCAAGACGGAUGCCCUUGGCAAGCUUGGAUUCUCCUCUUACCAGAAAUGCACCGCGGCCAUCCGCAUGCUUGCAUAUGGAAUUCCAGGCGAUCUGGUGGAUGAGUAUGUGCGUAUGAGUGAGACAACAUGUCUGAUGUCAAUGUACAAGUUUUGCCAGGCUGUGAUCGAGGUGUUUGGCCCAGAGUACUUGAGGCAGCCAACUGCCGCUGAUACAGAGAGAUUGUUGGCGACCAACGCAGCUAGAGGCUUUCCAGGCAUGCUUAGCAGCAUAGAUUGUAUGCACUGGGAGUGGCAGAACUGUCCAUUUCCUUGGCAGGGCCAGUACAAAGGGCAUGUCAAGGCGUGCACUGUCAUAUUAGAAGCGGUGGCAUCACAGGAUCUUUGGAUAUGGCAUUCUUUCUUCGGCAUGGCAGGUUCUCACAAUGAUAUCAACGUGCUGCAGCAUUCUCCAGUCUUCGCGAGGUUUGCAGAAGGCCACUCCCCACCUGUCAACUUUGAGAGCAACGGCCACCAUUACAACAAGGGAUACUAUCUAGCAGAUGGUAUAUAUCCUCAGUGGUCAACUUUUGUGAAGACAAUCUCGAAACCCCAAGGUGAGAAGAGAAAGAGAUUUGGCCAAAUGCAAGAGAGUGUUAGAAAGGAUGUGGAACGUACUUUUGGUGUGCUUCAAUCGCGGUGAGGUAUCGUUCGAAACCCUACACUAUCAUGGGAUGAAAGGAAGCUUUGGGAGGUGAUGACUGCUUGUGUGAUCAUGCACAACAUGAUCGUCGAGGACGAGCGUGAUGAGAGUAUCUUCGACCAAGGAUUUGACUAUCAAGGUGAAAAUAUUGAGCCCCUACAUCAAGACCCGGCCACAUUUGAACAGUUUGCUCAAUUCCAUCGUGAGAUGCGUGAUUGGCACUCUCAUUUGAAUCUUCAAAAUGACUUGGUUGAGCACGUGUGGGAUCACAUUGGCAACCAAUAGAUGUAUUGGUCCAUUUUAUGUUUAGUCAAGACAAUUUCGAUUUGGUUGUAAAAAUAUUUUAUUAAAGACAAUUUCAAUUGGGUUGUAAAACUAUUUUAAUUUUCAGACAAAUAUUUGGGUUGUAAACUAGUUUUGAUGAAAAUUUAGGCAUUUUUGGCCCUGACGGACAGGAUAUGACAAAAGGAUGCGUCCGCGCGGUGGGCGCACGGCCACCGCAUCCCAGGACACGUCCGGACACGACCCCAAAUCGCUACCCAAAUAGACAAAAUCCGGACAAAAUGGACGUCCGUUUGGGGUCGCGUGGUGGAGUUGGCCUGAGGGCGUCUCCAACCCUCACCCGCAAACCGGCAUCGGAUGGUAUAGCCGGUCAUCCGACACUAUCUGUAUACUCCUACAUUCCAAGUCGUAUUUCAACAUGAUGCAAAAUCUAUCAAACACAACGAGAUUUAUCAAAAUUCGGAUAGAAAAUAGCAUAAAUCAUUCAUACUUCCUCCGUUUCUAAAUAUAAGUCUUUUUAGGGAUUUGAAUAUGGACUGCAUACGGAGGAAUACAAACGUAUUUUAGAGUGUAGAUUCACUCAUUUUGCUCCAUAUGUAGUCUAUAUUAGAAUCUCUAAAAAGGCUUAUAUUUAUGAACGGAGGAAGUACAUGUACAAAUAUGAACUAUUGUUGAUUGUUGAAACAUCUUCAUAUGCAAAUAAGUCUAAUAUAACAAUAGUUCAUAUUCAGCGAGGAAUGGUUCAGAUUCAACUGGAUUAACCGAAUGUUCCACAAGUUUUUCAUGAGCGGGUCAUGUCCUCCCACACACACUGCCCCUUGAGCUUCAUCCAACCAUAUAUGUGUGUAAAUGGUUGCCCUCUAUCUCGUGGUACAUCACGACAAUGCCUGGGUGGUGGACAGAGAGGUACAUCAUCGUCGGAGGAGGAGGUGAACAACAUGUAACGUUAAUGACCCCUCCCCCCCAAGGCAAUGAUAUCCUUAUCCUAUCUAUUUUGGCGGUGGUACUGAUUCAAAACAUGCGCUGAAAUGUUUCAUUAUCUUGCUCUAUUCCUUUGUUCUUGCAAGAGAAAAUCCAUAAGAAAUGGAUCUAAAAUUCUAUACUUCUCUGAGGAGAAUUAUGCCCACCUGCCCUGAAAUGUUUUGUUCUUCUGCUUUGAUAUUAUUCGCCAAUCUAGCUUGCAGAAGAAGAUACUUCAAUAGAUAUCUCUGACUUGCUCCGAAAUAUUAUUGCUCUUUUGCUUUGAUGUUUUUCUUUCGACGAGCUAACUUGCAGAAGAAUAUUUUUGAUAUGAAAUGCUUCAUUUUCUCUGCCCUGAUAUUACUUUUGUCAAUCUAACUUGCAGGGGAAAUUCUUCAGAAGAUAUUUUCGACAAACAUUGAAACUUCUUAGUUCUUCUACUCUAUUACCUUGUAUCAUUAUUUCUUGCAGAAGAAAAUCUGUCAGAAGUGAAUCUACAAACUAUGAUAAUCCGAGGAAAACAUCACUCCUUAUUUCUACAGCAAAUCAUUUCAAAGUCUUUGUAUUCUUGAAUAAAUAUUUUUCAAGGGCUUUGUCUUGCAGGAAAAUAUAUUUCUCAGAUAUCACCAAAUGCAUUGAUUGAUCUCACUCAAUCGAAUCAUCUCUCAACACAUGUAGGAUUUUCACUCUAGGAAAAUCUUCACUAAGAUGAAUACAUUAGGGGGGCAUAUUUUAUCUUCGGAUAUUCUCUCAGCACAUGUUUUCCUGCACAUUAUCAGUUACCCUUACAAAUACCCUUUCGAUGUGUUCUGUUUUGUCAGCAAUCAUCCAAAAAGGGGGAGAUUGUUGCUGCAAUGUCUUCCCCCCUUGUGUUUUGAAGAUUGCUAUCAAAUACAGUAAUGGACUGAUUUGUGUGCUAGUGUACAUUGAGAGAAAUGGUCCAUCACUACUGGAAAUAGAGAAUUUGCCAUUAGUCAGCUCAGGUCUUUGUCGUCUGCUUAUAAAAAACGGACGGCAAAGACUUGGCUGACGGCGAAGAGGCUAGUUGCCAUCAGCCAGUUUUUUGCCAUCCGUCAGCUGACGACAAAGAGGUGGGUGGGUUCCAGUGGAGGCCUAAACCCUAACAGCCCACCAACCCCACCUCAUUGUCGUCCGCCAGCUGACGGCAAAGAAUCUUUGCCAUCUGCCGGCGAACGGCAAAGAAUUAAGUAUCUAACGGCCGUCCCGCCCCCUCCUCUCUAUCUUCCUUCCCGACCCCCCACCCCAAUUAACCGCCACCGUCCACCGCGCCCCCGACCCCCACCGCACCCCUGCCGCCUUGCCNNNNNNNNNNNNNNNNNNNNNNNNNNNNNNNNNNNNNNNNNNNNNNNNNNNNNNNNNNNNNNNNNNNNNNNNNNNNNNNNNNNNNNNNNNNNNNNNNNNNNNNNNNNNNNNNNNNNNNNNNNNNNNNNNNNNNNNNNNNNNNNNNNNNNNNNNNNNNNNNNNNNNNNNNNNNNNNNNNNNNNNNNNNNNNNNNNNNNNNNNNNNNNNNNNNNNNNNNNNNNNNNNNNNNNNNNNNNNNNNNNNNNNNNNNNNNNNNNNNNNNNNNNNNNNNNNNNNNNNNNNNNNNNNNNNNNNNNNNNNNNNNNNNNNNNNNNNNNNNNNNNNNNNNNNNNNNNNNNNNNNNNNNNNNNNNNNNNNNNNNNNNNNNNNNNNNNNNNNNNNNNNNNNNNNNNNNNNNNNNNNCCCGCCGCCUACAAGAGUCAAAGUAUUCUUCCCUAUUCCUUUUUAUUUUCUCUUUUUGCAAGCACCAUGUGGUGAGGAAAGAUCUAGGCACAUAUAUCCAGUUGGAUAUGGGUGGGCAUGAGUUAUUAUUGUUGACAUCACCCUUGAGGUGAAUACGUUGGGAGGCGAAAAUAUAAGCCCCUAUCUUUCUAUGUGUCCGGUUGAAACUUUUUGCUCAUGUGUAUGCGGUGAGUGUUGGCAAUCAUAGAAGACUAUAUGAUGGUUGAGUAUGUGGACUUCCCAAAAGGCUCUGAUACAUGACCCUUCCUGAAAAGAUGAUGAAUUGUAGUUGCAAAGUUGACUGAGAACAUAGUUUGUUGGUUUUCAAUAAGGUUUAUGCUUUAUACUUCAAAGUUGUAAUGAAUUGUUACUUGCUCAUGAGAAGUUAUAUCAUAAAAGUCAUGUGAUAAAGUUUAAUGAUAAAGUUUGUUGUUGUUAUAAUAAUACGCAUGAUGCUUCUAUGUCCGUAUUAUGUUUUUAUCAACACCUCUCUCUCUCUCUAAACAUGUGGACAUGUUUUUCGAUUUCGGUUUUCGCUUGAGGACAAGCGAGGUCUAAGCUUAGCGGAGUUGAUACGUCCAUUUUGCAUCAUGUUUUCAUACUGUUAUUUACAAUGUUUUUAUGCAUAAUAAUGUCUUUUGGAGUAUUUCUAAUGCAUUUUCUCUCAUAAUAUGCAAGGUUUACACAAAGAGGGAGAAUGUCGAUAGCUGGAAUUCUGGAUCUAAAAAAGCUACGUCAGAGUUACCUAUCUGAUCGGCUGCCGAUAGGAAUCUCAGCAGCAGUUGGGCCCGCGCCAUGGCCUCCGAAGCGGUACUUGGCAUAGGCGAUGAUGAUGUGGACCGCAACAUCGCCCGGCUCCCGACGGUGCCGGCGGUGGCUGUGUCGGGCUCCCGUCGCCGGGAGCCAGUCGCUUGGAUGGCGUGGUGACGAAGUGGUGGCACGUGUGGACCAGUGACCCCAUUCGGAGCGUUGGCUAGGCUAGUUUGCUCCGGGGGUGGUGCAUGUCCGGCAACCGCGCCCGCGACGGGGGCGGCCGAAGGAUUGCGAUUCGCCUCAGGGCGAACGUCACCGCCGUGGCUAUGUCCCUCGGCUAGGGAGGGAGGGACAAAAUGAAUAAUCUCUCUACCCGUACCUCAUGGAGCGUGGUCGCCAGGAUGUUUUUGGUGUUGUCCUUCUCCGAUGCCUCCCGCUCCUUCUUCGGCCGUGGGAGAUGUGGUGAUGAUGCCGCCUGUGCCAACCACGUCCCUCGCAGUGCCUGCAUCCUCAUGCGUCUCCGCAUUCCACGCGGCGUUGGCGGUCGCGGGCGUCGAGGCCUUCGAGGGGACGGGUGAGCUACAACACUGGGAUUCUUCUUGGGCGCCAUAGUCGAUGGAGCCGUUGACGAUGAAAAUGGCGAUGAAGAUGACGCGCUGCUUACGCUCUCGGGUUCGCGCAAGUGAUCCCCCUACCUGGCGCGCCAAAGAUGUGGUGGGAAACCACGAGCACCUAUGGGGCCAUGAGCCCCUUUUUGGUCCGGCGGGGGACGGACAUGUUGCACGAAGAGCGGAGAAGCGCAACAUAACACGACAGAGAUCACAUGGGCAGUUUUACCCAGGUUCAGGCCGCUGUGAGGUGUAAAACCCGACUCCUACUUUGGUGGAUUGAUGGUGGAGAACGUGGUGCUCUUGCCCGGCAAGGUUGCCUCGGGGAGAGAGUGGCUACGCGCGUAUGAAUGUGUGAGGGUCCGAAUCCUUCCUACAGUUUCCAUGGGCCUCCUUUUAUAGAUAAAGGGGUCACCACAGUGGAAAAUUGAUACGUCUCCAACGUAUCUAUAAUUGUUGAUUGUUCCAUGCUAUUAUAUUAUCUGUCUUUGAUGUUAAUGGGCUUAUUUAUACACUUCUAUAUUAUUUUUGGGACUAACCUACUAACCCAAGGCCCAGCGCAAAUUGCUGUUUUUUUGCCUAUUUCAGUGUUUCGCAGAAAAGGAAUAUCAAACGGAAUCCAAACGGAAUGAAACCUUUGGGAGAGUUAUUUUUGGAACAAAUCCAGAGGACUUGGAGUGGACGUCAAGCAACCAACAAGGAGGCCACGAGGCAGGGGGGCGCGCCUACCCCCGGGCGCGCCCUUCACCCACGUGGGCCCCUCGUGGCUCCACCGACCUACUUUUUCCUCCUAUAUAUGUCCACAUACCCCGAAAACAUCCAGGAGCACCACGAAACCCUAUUUCCACCGCCGCAACCUUCUGUACCCAAGAGAUCCCAUCGGAUCUCGAUCACGAAGGGCUUAUACAUCAACACCAUAGCCUCUCCGAUGCUGUGUGAGUAGUUUACCUCAGACCUUCGGGUCCAUAGUUAUUAGCUAGAUGGCUUCUUCUCUCUCUUUGGAUCUCAAUACAAUGUUCUCCUCGAUAUUCUUGGAGAUCUAUUUGAUGUAACUCUUUUUGCGGUGUGUUUGUCGAGAUCCGAUGAAUUGUGGGUUUAUGAUAAAGUUUAUCUAUGAACAAUAUUUGAUUCUUCUCUGAAAUCUUUUAUGUAUGAUUGGUUAUCUUUGCAAGUCUCUUUGAAUUAUCAGUUUGGUUUGGCCUACUAGAUUGAUCUUUCUUGCAAUGGGAGAAGUGCUUAGCUUUGGGUUCAAUCUUGCGGUGUCCUUUCCCAGUGACAGCAGGGGCAGCAAAGCACGUAUUGUAUUGUUGCCAUCGAGGAUAAAUGUUGGGGAACGUAGUAAUUUCCAAAAAAUUCCUACGCACAUGCAAGAUCAUAGUGAUGCAUGGCAAUGAGAGGGGAGAGUAUCGUCUACAUACCCUCGUAGACCGUAAGCGGAAGCGUUAUGAGAAUGCGGUUGAUGUAGUCGUACCGUCUUCACGAUCCGGCCGAUCCAAGUAUCGAACGUACGGCACCUCCGAGUUCAGCACACGUUCAGCUCGGUGAUGUCCCACGAACUCCGAUCCAGCAGAGCUUCGAGGGAGAGUUCUGUCAGCAUGACGGCGUGAUGACGGUGAUGAUGAUGCUACCGACGCAGGGCUUUGCCUAAGCACCGCUAUGAUAUAACCGAGGUGGAUUAUGGUGGAGAGGGGCACCGCACACGGCUUGGAACAAUCAACUUGUGUGUCUAUGGGGUGCCCCCUGGCCACGUAUAUAAAGGAGCAAGGGGAGGGGGCCGGCGGCCUCAUAGGGUGCGCCCAAAGGGGGGAAUCCUACUCCUACUAGGAGUAGGUUCCCCCUUUCCUAGUCCAACUAGGAGGGGAAGGAAAGAGAAGGAGAUGAGAAGGAAAGAGGGGGCCGCCCCCAAAGCCCUAAACCAAUUCGGUUUGGGCCUAGGGGGGCGCACCACACACUUCCUUGCUGCCCUCUAUUUCCACUAAAGCUCACGAAGGCCCAUUGACCCUCCCGGUGAAUUUCCCUAACUCUCCGGUACUCCGAAAAAUACCCGAAUCACUCGGAACCUUUUCGAUGUCCGAAUAUAGUCGUCCAAUAUAUCGAUCUUUAUGUCUCGACCAUUUCGAGACUCCUCGUCAUGUCCCCGAUGUCAUCCGGGACUCCGAACUACCCUCGAUACAUCAAAACACAUAAACUCAUAAUAUCGAUCGUCACCGAACGUUAAGCAUGCGGACCCUACGGGUUCGAGAACUACGUAGACAUGACCGAGACACGUCUCCGGUCAAUAACCAAUAGCAGAACCUCGAUGUUCAUAUUAGCUCCUACAUAUUCUACGAAGAUCUUUAUCGGUCAAACCACAUAACAACAUACGUUGUUCCCUUUGUCAUCGGUAUGUUACUUGCCCGAGAUUCGAUCGUCGGUAUCUCAAUACCUAGUUCAAUCUCGUUACCGGCAAGUCUCUUUACUCGUUCCGUAAUGCAUCAUCCCCCAACUAACUCGUUAGUCACAUUGCUUGCAAGGCUUAUAGUGAUGUGCAUUGCCGAGAGGGCCUAGAGAUACCUCUCCGACAAUCGGAGUGACAAAUCCUAAUCUCGAUCUAUGCCAACUCAACAAGUACCAUCGAAGACACCUGUAGAGCACCUUUGUAAUCACCCAGUUACGUUGUGACGUUUGGUAGCACACAAAGUGUUCCUCCGGUAUUCGGGAGUUGCAUAAUCUCAUAGUUAGAGGAACAUGUAUAAGUCAUGAAGAAAGCAGUAGCAACAAACUAAACGAUCAUCGUACUAAGCUAACUGAAUGGGUCAAGUCAAUCACAUCAUUCUAUAAUGAUGUGAUCCCGUUAAUCAAAUGACAACUCAUGUCUAUGGCUAGGAAACUUAACCAUCUUUGAUUCAACGAGCUAGUCAAGUAGAGGCAUACUAGUGACACUCUGUUUGUCUAUGUAUUCACACAUGUACUAAGUUUCCGGUUAAUACAAUUCUAGCAUGAAUAAUAAACAUUUAUCAUGAUAUAAGGAAAAUAAAUAAUAACUUUAUUAUUGCCUCUAGGGCAUAUUUCCUUCAGUCUCCCACUUGCAAUAGAGUCAAUAAUCUAGUUCACAUCUUUAUGUGAUUAGUUCACAUCUCCAUGUGACUAAUACCCAAAGGGUUUACUAGAGUCAAUAAUCUAGUUCACAUCGCUAUGUGAUUAACACCCAAAGAGUGAUCAUGUUUUGCUUGUGAGAGAAGUUUAGCCUACGGGUCUGCAACAUUCAGAUCCAUAUGUAUUUCGCAAAUUUCUAUGUCUACAAUGCUCUGCACGGAGCUACUCUAGCUAAUUGUUCCCACUUUCAAUAUGUAUCUAGAUCGAGACUUAGAGUCAUCUAGAUCGAUGUAAAAAGUUUGCAUCGACGUAACUCUUUACGACGAACUCUUUUAUCACCUCCAUAACCGAGAAAUAUUUCCUUAGUCCUCUAAGGAUAAUUUUGACCGUUGUCUAGUGAUCUACUCCUAGAUCACUAUUGUACUCCCUUGUCAUAAAUAUGCUAAGGUAUACAAUAGGACUGGUAAACAACAUAGCAUACUUUAUAGAACCUAUGACCGAGGCAUAGGGAAUGACUUUUCAUUCUUUUUUUAUUUUCUACUGUGGUCGGGUUUUGAGUCUUUACUCAACUUCACACCUUGCAACACAGGAAAGAACUCCUUCUUUGACUGUUCCAUUUUGAACUACUUCAAAAUCUUGUCAAGGUAUGUACUCAUUGUAAAAACUUAUCAAGCGUCUUGAUCUAUCUCUAUAGAUCUUGAUGCUCAAUGUGUAAGCAACUUCAUCGAGGUCUUUCUUUGAAAAACUCUUUUCAAACACUCCUUUAUGCUUUCCAAAAAAUUCUACAUUAUUUUCGAUCAACAAUAUGUCAUUCACAUAUACUUAUCAGAAAUGUUGUAGUGCUCCCACUCACUUUCUUGUAAAUACAGGCUUCACCGCAAGUCUGUAUAAAACCAUAUGCUUUGAUCACUUUAUCAAAGCAUAUAUUUCAACUCCAAGAUGCUUGCACCAGUCCAUAGAUGGAUCGCUGGAGCUUGCUCACUUUGUUAGCACCUUUAGGAUCGACAAAACCUUCUGGUUGCAUCAUAUACAACUCUUCUUUUAAAAAAUCCAUGAAGGAAUACAGUUUUGACAUCCAUUUGCCAGAUUUCAUAAAAUGCGACAACUGCUAACAUGAUUCGGGCAGACUUUUAAGCAUCGAUACGAGUGAGUGAUACGUCCAUUUUGCAUCAUGCUUUUAUAUCGAUAUUUAUUGCAUUAUGGGCUGUUAUUUCACAUUAUGUCACAAUACUUAUGGCUAUUCUCUCUUAUUUUACAAGGUUAACAUAAGGAGGGAGAAUGCCGACAGCUGGAAUUCUGGGCUGGAAAAGGAGCAAAUAUUAGAGACCUAUUCUGCACAACUCCAAAAGUCCUGAAACUCCAUGGAAUACCUUAUAAAAAUAAUGAAAAAUCCUCGCCAAAGAUGAAGACCAGGGGCCCACACCCUUUCCACAAGGGUGGGCCCCCCCUAGGGCACGCCCCCCUACCUCGUGGGCCCCCUAGUGGCUCUCCGAUGACCAUCUUCUGCUAUAUGAAGUCUUUCGUCGAGAAAAAAAUAGGAAGCAACCUUUCGGGACAAAACUCCGCCGCCAUGAGGCGGAACCUUGGCGGAUCCAAUCUAGAGCUCCGGCAGAGCUGUUUUGCCGGGGAAACUUCUCUCCCGGAGGGGGAAAUCAUCGCCAUCGUCAUCACCAAUGCUCCUCUCAUCGGGAUUGGGCAAUCUCCAUCAACAUCUUCAUCAGCACCAUCUCAUCUCAAAAUCCUAGUUCAUCUCUUGUAUCCAAUUCUUGUCUCCAAGUCCGGGAUUGGUGCUAGUAGGUUGCUAGUAGUGUUAAUUACUUCUUGUAGUUGAUGCUAGUUGGUUUAAUUGGUGGAAGAUCAUAUGUUCAGAUCCUUUAUGCAUAUCAUUACCCCUCUGAUUAUGAAUAUGAAUAUGCUUUGUGAGUAGUUAUGUUUGUUCCUGAGGACAAGGGAGGAGUCUUGCUAUUAGUAGUCAUGUGAAUUUGGUAUUCGUUCGAUAUUUUGAUGAGAUGUAUGUUGUCUAGCCUCUAUUUGUGUUAUGUGAACGUCGACUACAUAACACUUCACCAUUAUUUGGGCCUAGAGGAAGGCAUUGGGAAGUAAUAAGUAGAUGAUGGGUUGCUAGAGUGACUGAAGCUUAAACCCUAGUUUAUGUGUUGCUUCGUAAGGGGCUGAUUUGGAUCCAUAUGUUUCAUGCUAUGGUUAGGUUUACCUUAAUACUUUUGUUGUAGUUGCGGAUGCUUGCAAUAGAGGUUAAUCAUAAGUGGGAUGCUUGUUCAAGUAAGAACAGCUGCCAAGCACUGCUCCACCCACAUGUCAAAUUAUCAAAGUACCGAACGUGAAUCAUAUGAACGUGAUGAAAACUAGCUUGACGAUAUUCCCAUGUGUCCUCGGGAGCGCUUUUCCUUAUAUAAGAGUUUGUCCAGGCUUGUCCUUUGCUACAAAAAGGAUUGGGCCACCUUGCUGCACUUUAUUUACUUUUGUUACUUGUUGCUCGUUACAAAUUAUCUUAUCACAAAACUAUCUGUUACCACUUAUUUCAGUACUUGCAGAGAAUACCUUGCUGAAACCGCUUAUCAUUUCCUUCUGCUCCUCGUUGGGUUCGACACUCUUACUUAUCAAAAGGACUACGAUAGAUCCCCUAUACUUGUGGGUCAUCAAGACUCUUUUCUGGCGCCGUUGCCGGGGAGUGAAGCGCCUUUGGUAGGUGGAAUUUGGUAAGGAAAGAUUUAUAUAGUGUGCUGAAAUUUACUGUCACUUGUUACUAUGGAAAGUAAUCCUCUGAGGGGCUUGUUCGGGGUAUCUUCACCCCGACCAGUAGAGCAAAGAGUUGCUCCUCAACCUACUGAACCUACUGAAAAUGAAAAUGAAAAUACUUGCUUUGAAGUUCCUUCGGGUAUAAUAGAAAAACUGCUAGCUAAUCCUUUUUUAGGAGAUGGAACAAAACAUCCUGAUGAACAUCUAAUAUAUGUGGAUGAAGUUUGUGGAUUAUUUAAGCUUGCAGGUGUAUCCGGAGAUGUUGUUAAGAAGAAGGUCUUCCCCUUAUCUUUGAGGGGAGAUGCAUCGACAUGGUGUAGGCUAUGUGAUGAUAUGAGGUCUUGGAAUUACAAACGAUUGAAAUUGGAAUUUCAUCAGAAGUUUUAUCCUAUGCAUCUUGUUCAUCGUGAUUGCAAUUAUAUAUAUAAUUUUUGUCCUCGCGAAGGAGAAAGCAUCGCUCAAGCUUGGGGGAGGCUUAAGUCAAUGUUAUAUUCAUGCCCCAAUCAUGAGCUCUCAAGAGAAAUGAUUAUUCAAAAUUUUUAUGCUCGGCUUUCUGGUAACAAUCGCACCAUGCUUGAUACUUCUUGUGCUGGCUCUUUUAUGUUGAAGACUAUUGGAUUUAGACGGGAUUUAUUGGAUAGAAUUAAACACAACUCUAAAGAUUGGGACCUCGACAAUGGUAAGGAGUCGGGUAUGACACCUAAGUUUGAUUGUGUUAAUUCUUUUAUGGAUACCGAUAUUUUCCGUAAGUUUAGCACUAAAUAUGGACUUGAUUCUGAGAUAGUAGCUUCUUUCUGUGAAUCUUUUGCUACUUAUGUUGAUCUCCCUAAGGAGAAGUGGUUUAAAUAUCAUCCUCCCAUAGAAGUAAAAGUAGCUACACCAAUUAAAGUUGAAGAAAAGACUAUCACUUAUAAUGAUCAUGUUGUUCCUACUUGCUAUGUUGAGAAACCACCUUUCCCUGUUAGGAUAAAGGAUCAUGCUAAAGCUUCAACUGUGGUUCAUAAAAGCAAUAUUAAAACAUAUACACCUCCUGAGCAAGUUAAAGUAGAACCUAAUAUUGCUAUUGUUAAAGAUCUCUUGUCUGAUAAUAUUGAUGGGCAUGUUAUUCAGUUCUGCGGUGAAACUGCUAGAAUUGCUAAACCUUGUGCUAAAGAUAAAAAUAGACCUGUGGUAGGCGUGCCUGUUAUUUCUGUUAAAAUAGGAGAACAUUGUUAUCAUGGCUUAUGUGAUAUGGGUGCUAGUGCUAGUGUUAUACCUUAUGACUUGUAUAAAGAAAUCAAGCAUGAAAUUGCACCUGCUGGGUUAGAAGAUAUUGAUGUCACAAUUAAACUUGCUAAUAUAGAUACUAUUUCAGCAGUGGGAAUUGUUAGAGAUGUUGAAGUCUUGUGCGGGAAAACUAAAUAUCCUGCUGAUUUUCUUGUUCUUAGUUCCCCACAAGAUAGCUUUUGUCCCAUUAUAUUUGGUAGACCCUUCUUGAACACUGUUAAUGCUAAGAUAGACUGCGAAAAGAAUGUUGCUACUAUUGGCUUGGAUGAUAUGACUCAUGAAUUUAAUUUCUCUGAAUUUAGUAAACAACACCGUGAAGAAGAAUUGCCUAGUAAGGAUGAAAUUAUUGGUCUUGCUUCUAUUGUCAUACCUCCUAGUGAUCCUUUAGAACAAUAUUUGCUAGACAUGAGAAUGAUAUGUUUAUGAAUGAAAGAAGGGAAAUAGAUGAAGUAUUCUUUAAACAGGAACCUAUUCUGUAACACAAUUUGCCUGUUGAAAUCCUAGGGGAUCCCCUCCACCUAAGGGUGAUCCCGUGUUUGAGCUUAAACCGUUGCCUGAUAAUCUUAAAUAUGCUUAUCUUGAUGAAAAGAAGAUAUAUCCUGUUAUUAUUAGUGUUAACCUUUCAGAGCAUGAAGAAGAAAGUUUAUUGAAAACUCUGAAGAAGCACCGUGCUGCUAUUGGAUAUACUCUUGAUGAUCUUAAGGGCAUUAGUCCCACUCUAUGUCAACAUAAAAUAAAUUUGGAAGCAGAUGCCAAACCAGUUCGUGAUCCUCAACGACGUUUGAAUCCUAAAAUGAAAGAAGUGUUAAGAAAAGAAAUACUAAAGCUUCUGGAGGCAGGUAUAAUUUAUCCCGUUGCUGAUAGUUAGUGGGUAAGUCCUGUUCAUUGUGUCCCUAAGAAGGGAGGUAUUACUGUUGUUCCUAAUGAUAAAGAUGAAUUGAUUCCACAAAGAAUUAUUACAGGUUAUAGGAUGGUAAUUGAUUUCCGCAAAUUAAAUAAGGCUACUAAGAAAGAUCAUUACCCCUUACCUUUUAUCGAUCAAAUGCUAGAAAGAUUAUGCAAACAUACACAUUGCUGCUUUCUAGAUGGUUAUUCUGGUUUCUCUCAAAUACCUGUGUCGGCUAAAAAUCAAUCAAAGACUACUUUUACAUGCCCUUUUGGUACUUUUGCUUAUAGACGUAUGCCUUUUGGUUUAUGUAAUGCACCUGCUACCUUUCAAAGAUGCAUGAUGGCUAUAUUCUCUGACUUCUGUGAGAAGAUUUGUGAGGUUUUCAUGGACGACUUUUCCGUCUAUGGAUCUUCUUUUGAUGAUUGCUUGAGCAAUCUUGAUCGAGUUUUGCAGAGAUGUGAAGAAACUAUUCUUGUCUUGAAUUGGGAAAAGUGCCACUUUAUGGUAAAUGAGGGUAUUGUCUUGGGGCAUAAAGUUUCUGAAAGAGGUAUUGAAGUUGAUAACGCCAAGGUUGAUGCUAUUGAAAAGAUGCCAUGUCCCAAGGACAUCAAAGGUAUAAGAAGUUUCCUUGGUCACGCCAGAUUUUAUAGGAGGUUCAUUAAGGACUUCUCAAAAAUUUCUCGGCCUCUGACUAAUUUAUUACAAAAAGAUAUACCAUUUGUCUUUGAUGAUGAUUGUGUAGAAGCAUUUGAAAUACUUAAGAAAACAUUAGUCUCUGCACCUAUUGUUCAGCCACCUGAUUGGAAUUUACCCUUUGAAAUUAUGUGUGAUGCUAGCGAUUAUGCUGUAGGUGCUCUUCUAGGGCAAAGAGUUGAUAAGAAAUUAAAUGUUAUCCAUUAUGCUAGUAAGACUCUAGACAAUGCUCAAAUAAAUUAUGCUACUACUGAAAAAGAACUUUUAGCAGUUGUAUUUGCUUGUGAUAAGUUCAGACCUUAUAUUGUUGAUUCUAAAGUAACUAUCCACACUGAUCAUGCUGCUAUUAAAUAUCUUAUGGAGAAGAAAGAUGCUAAACCUAGACUUAUUAGAUGGGUUCUCCUGCUACAAGAAUUUGAUUUUCAUAUAGUUGAUAGAAAAGGAGCUGAGAACCCCGUUGCAGACAACUUAUCUAGGUUAGAGAACGUUCUUGAUGACCCACUACCUAUUGAUGAUAGCUUUCCUGAUGAAUAAUUAAAUCUCAUAAGUACUUCUUGUAGUACUCCUUAGUAUGCUGAUUAUGCUAAUUACAUAGUUGCUAAAUUCAUACCACCUAGCUUCACAUACCAACAAAAGAAAAAGUUCUUCUAUGAUUUGAGACAUUACUUUUGGGAUGACCCACAUCUUUAUAAAGAAGGAGUAGAUGGUGUUAUUAGAUGUUGUGUACCUGAGCAUGAACAAGAACAGAUCCUACGCAAGUGCCACUCCGGAACUUAUGGAGGACACCACGCGGGAGAUAGAACUGCGCAUAAGGUAUUGCAAUCAGGUUUUUAUUGGCCUACUGUCUUCAAGGAUGCCCGUAAGUUUGUCCUAUCUUGUGAUGAAUGUCAAAGAAUUGGUAAUAUUAGUAGACGUCAAGAAAUGCCGAUGAAUUAUUCACUUGUUAUUGAACCAUUUGAUGUUUGGGGCUUUGAUUAUAUGGGACCUUUUCCUGCCUCUAAUGGAUAUACACAUAUUUUAGUUGCUGUUGAUUACGUUACUAAGUGGGUAGAAGCUAUUCCAACUAGUAGUGCUGAUCAUAACACUUCUAUUAAAAUGCUUAAAGAAGUUAUUUUUCCAAGGUUUGGAGUCCCUAGAUAUUUAAUGACUGAUGGUGGUUCACAUUUUAUUCAUGGUGCUUUCCGUAAAAUGCUUGCUAAAUAUGACGUCAAUCAUAGAAUUGCAUCUCCGUAUCACCCACAGUCUAGUGGUCAAAUAGAAUUGAGUAAUAGAGAACUCAAAUUAAUUUUGCAAAAGACUAUCAAUAGGUCUAGAAAGAAUUGGUCCAAGAAACUUGAUGAUGCAUUAUGGGCCUAUAUAACUGCAUAUAAAAAUCCUAUGGGUAUGUCUCCGUAUAAAAUGUUAUAUGGAAAAGCAUGUCACUUACCUCUUGAACUAGAACAUAAGGCAUAUUGGGCUAUUAAAGAGCUCAAUUAUGAUUUCAAACUUGGCGGUGAAAAGAGGUUAUUUGAUAUUAGCUCUCUUGAUGAAUGGAGAACCCAAGCUUAUGAAAAUGCUAAGUUGUUUAAAGAAAAGGUUAAAAGAUGGCAUGACAAAAGGAUACAAAAGCGUGAGUUUAAUGUAGGUGACUAUGUAUUGCUAUACAACUCUCGUUUAAGAUUUUUUGCAGGGAAACUUCUCUCUAAAUGGGAAGGCCCCUAUGUUAUCGAGGAGGUCUAUCGUUCUGGUGCCAUAAAAAUUAACAACUUCGAAGGCACAAAUCCGAAGGUGGUAAACGGUCAAAGAAUCAAACAUUAUAUCUCAGGCAAUCCCAUAAAUAUUGAAACCAAUAUUAUUGAAACCGUAACCCCGGAGGAAUACAUAAGGGACACUUUCCAGAAUGUUUCAGACUCCGAAAAGGAAUAGGUAUGUGGUACGGUAAGUAAACUGACUCCAAAACAAUUUUUAAGGCAAUAUUUCUCCAUUUUGGAAUAUUUAGAAAAAUAGAAAAUUAAGUAGCAGUCCGGGAAGGACACGAGGGCCCCAUGAGGGUGGAGGGCGCGCCCCCUACCUCAUGAGCACCUCGUGUGCCUUCCGGAUUCCGUUUUCUUGCAUGAUACGUAUUUUGGUCGGUAAAAAUUCAUUAUAUAUUCUCCUGAAGAUUUUGACUCCAGUAUCACGCAAAUAUCCUCUGUUUUUGUUUCGAGCUGUUGCUGCUACAGAUUAGAGCAAGAUGUCUUCUCAAGAGUCAGCCGAGGAGAGCCGGGUAUCUAAUCCGGCACCGGAACCAAGGGCAAACAGCGACCCUGACCACUUUGGGCCAGCAACGGAGGAAGAGAUGGAGGCUGACUUAAUGAGGGUAGAUGCCAUGGAGGAUCAAGAAGUCACCUCUCGCUUCCGAGCUGGGUUCACAAUGGGGGAACUACAGAGCUCAGCUAUUCCAAACUCAGUUAUCCCUUCGAAUGUUAGAUUUCUUUCUUAGGAAAAUAUGAAGAGGAGUCUCACUUGUUCUCCCACAACUAUGAAACACCCUUGGGUGCAAGGAGCUUUAGCCAUCACAGGAAAGCUUCAUAAGGAAACAAUGGACCUCAAGCAGCAAGUCAACAAGCUCGAGGAGGAGAAUCGUAUCCUGAGAGGAAUCAUCGCCAAGAAUAUUUCACCAACAACAAAGAAGGAGACAUAAUCACAUUGGUAUGGGCACUCCACUUGGCAACCGCCAAGCUUGGGGGAGGUGCCCCGGUAUUGUAUCACAAUCAUAACUCCUAUCUUUACCGUUUUCCUUAGUUCGAUCCUAUUAGUAGUAUUUGAUCUAGUAGAAUAAAGUUCAUGGCAUGAUCUAGUUUUAAGUUUUGCUUUAUGAUCUCUCUAUGUAAUCGAGUCCGUGAGCUAUAUAAUAAAGAUUAGUGUUGAGUCAAGGGCUUGAUUUUCUUGCUAUGAUCUUGGGUGAAUAAAAGAAAAGAGAAAAAGAAUAAGAAGAAACAAAAGUUCGUAUUGAUCUUAUUGAUAGUAAUGACUUCACAUAGAAAGAGUGUGAUGAUUAAAAGUUGUUUGGAGUUGGCAGACAUAGCUUUGGUCAUUGUUGCAAUUAAUAGGAAGUAAUAAGGAAAGAGAGGUUUCACAUAUAAAUAUACUAUUAUUGACAUCUUUUAUGAUUGGGAGCACUCAUCAAAAUAUGACAUGCUAAAGAGUUGAUGUUGGAUAAGGAAGACAACGUAAUGGGUUAUGUUUUCUUAUAUCUGAGAUAAAGUAUGUUGUCAUGGAUCAUCCAACAUGUUGAGCUUUCCUUUCCCCCUCGUGCUAGCCACAUUCUUAGCACCAAGUAGAGAUACUACUUGUGCUUCCAAACACCCUUAAACCAGUUUUGCCAUGAGAGUCCACCAUAACUACCUAUGGAUUGAGUAAGAUCCUUCAAGUAAGUUGUCAUCGGUGCAAAGCAAUAAAAAUUGCUCUAAAUAUGUAUGAUUAGUGUGGGAGAAAUAAGCUUUAUACGAUCUUGUGAUGUGGAAGUAAUAAAAGCAACGGACUGCAUAAUAAAUUUUCAUAUCACAAGGGGCAAUAUAAAGUGACGUUCUUUCGCAUUAAGAUUUUGUGCAUCCAACCAUAAAAGCGCAUGGCAACCUCUGCUUCCCUCUACGAAGGGCCUAUCUUUUAUUAUUAUCUUCUACCUUAUGCAAGUGUCAUGGUGAUCUUCACCUCUCCCUUUUUCAUUUUAUCCUUUGGCAAGCCCAGCAUGUUGGAAAGAACCUGAUAUAUAUCCAAUUGGAUGUAGGGGGGCAUGAGUUAUUAUUGUUGACAUUACCCUCGAGGUAAAAGGUUGUGGGGCGAAACUAUAAGUCCCUAUCUUUCUCUGUGUCUGAUUAAAACUCCGUAACCACAAGUAUUGUGUGAGUGUUAGCAACUAUGAAGGACUAGAUGAUAGUUGAGUAUGUGGACUUGCUUUUUAGCUCUGACAUAGACUCUUUCUGAUGUUAUGAUAAAUUGUAAUUGCUUCAAUGACUGAGGUUAUAGUUUGUUGGUUCUCAAUAAGGUUUCUGAUUCAUACUUUUGUAUUAUGAAUAGAUCAUCACUUGAACAUAAGUAAUCAUAUGACAAUAUCUACAUAUGUUGAUGUUAUGAGAAUAAUCAUGAUGCCUUCAUGUCCGUAUUUUAUUUUUAUCGACGCCUCUACCUCUAAACAUGGGGACAUAUUUAUUGUUAUCGGCUUUCGCUUGAGGACAAGCGAGGUCUAAGCUUGGGGGAGUUGAUACGUCCAUUUUGCAUCAUGCUUUUAUAUCGAUAUUUAUUGCAUUAUGGGCUGUUAUUUCACAUUAUGUCACAAUACUUAUGGCUAUUCUCUCUUAUUUUACAAGGUAUAAGGAGGGAGAAUGCCGGCAGCUGGAAUUCUAGGCUGGAAAAGGAGAAAAUAUUAGAGACCUAUUAUGCACAACUCCAAAAGUCCUGAAACUCCACGGAAUACCUUAUAAUAAAUAAUGAAAAAUCCUCGCCAAAGAUGAAGACCAGGGGCCCCACACCCUUUCCACGAGGCCGUCGUCAAGGCAACUCCAGCAGCACGGAGUAAGAGGCACACGACCCAGUGCACGACGGCAAAUGGACAGCGUCUCCGGCAUUAGGGAGGAGGGCGCUGUGAAAUUGGUGCGGUGGGGGCGCCAUGGAGGAGGGGCUGAGGUUUCACGGCUCGGGAGAAGGGAGCUUCCGGGGAGAAGGUGAUUUGGCGCCCAUGAGGUAUGAAUGGGGGGAUUGGGAGGGGAGUGGAACCAUGUUUUACGGAUGCAUUUGUCUGAAAUGUGAGGGGGAGUUACAGUUCUACCCCUGCCUUUAGGCUUCUUGGCUUGAGUUUGUGUACUAAGGGUCAGGGAUAGUAGAGUAACUUUGCUUCUCCCCAAAUAGUGGGCGGGAGCGAUUUCGGGCGAGGAGGGCAUGUUUUGAAAUAUAGUGGGCGCGAGCGAUUUCGGACAAGGAGAGCGUGUUUUGAAAUAGUGGACGCGAGCUAUUUUGGGCGAGGAGAGCGUGUUUUGCCGACCAUGGUUUAUGAAAUAUUCGGCACAUGUCAUUUCGGCCUAGGAGAAGGCGCGCUUGGAUGAAGUUAUGAACCUACCCUCGAUGCACAACGGGCCAAUUAAUGCGUCUCCCACAUAGGACGGUAAUUUCACCUCUCCCAUUUAUUUGCUCGGGCGAAUUCCACCGAGCAGAGGAUGUUUAAUGGUUCGUUCAAAAUUUGGGAGAACGAGCAUCCAUGUCUACCUUACCAAGUCGAUUCGAAUCAAAUUUGAAAAUAUUAGCUUGCCACUUCUUUUUUAGAUGGAGAGAUGAUGCUCGGGAGUAAUGUGUUUUUACAUGCUCGUUGCUAGCGAUUUACUAUAUAACAAAUGGUUGACCCACUCAAAAACGGGAAUCAAACCCAAAAUGAUAUCUCGAUUCAGUGAAAUAGCUCGUUCACCAGGUCAAAAUAGUGAACUAAAUCCAAAAUUGAACACCUCAAUCGAAUAGCAUGUUGUACAGUAUUAUAGUACUCCAUGAACAUGUUGAAAGUCAAAUUAAUGAACUUGUUUGAUAUACACAUAUAUCCAUUCAUGUGUGGAUUGCAGACAACAUGUUCUCCAAUUUAAAUAUUUGAAUGCAAAUUUAUAUCGAAACAUGGUUUAUAUCAGUCUUUGAUGCAUAAAACGCGACCUCCCCCUCUCCCGUACUCCCUCUCUCUCUCUCGCCGACAAUCUUCAAUUCUGUCGCACACAUCCAACACACAGACCUUGUUGGUCCUCUCUCUUUCUCUCUCUCUCUCUCUCUCUCUCUCUCUCUCUCUCUCUUUGUGUGUGUGCGUGGGUGGGGGUCUUUCUAGUUCGCAUGCAUAUAUACUCCAUCUAUAGGUCUCUCUCGCACACUAUGUAUGAUUCUCUAGUCCAAGCUAGAUAUCUUGGGUGCACUCAUCGUACGCACACAAAUUCCUUGGCUCGUUGCCCGUAACUCUCUCACGCACCACUCUGUCGUCUCGGAGCUCUUCCCCCUCUCUCUCAAACUCUCCAUCUACUCGGGUCACACAUACACAUGCAUAUCUCACUCGCACUUGAUAGGCCCAUCUAAACUCUAUCUCUCUCCCUUGUUCUCUCUCCGUCUCACACGCAUACACACAGUCUCAUGCCUAGAUAGCCAAGUAUGAUGGUCUCUCACUCAAUUGUAGGCACACACAGUCCCCCCUAUAUGUAUAUGACCAGCUAAUCUUAGUCUCCAUCACAAACAUGUGCAUGGUCUAUCUCGAUUUCUCUCGGGGCAUCUUUCUAUCGUGCACGCACCUCCCUCGAUCUCCCACCCAUAUUGUCCCCUCAUGAUCUCGAGGGGGUCUCUCUAUCACAAACACACCCUCUCGCCCUCCCCAUGCGUCCAUGUUCUCCAUGUGUCCCUCUCGACCUUUGUUCCUUGUUGGCCAGACUUCUAUUGGACAUGUGCUAUAGGGGUGUCUCUCUCCGUUGCAAACAAUCACACACUAGCUAUCUUCGUGUAUCUCCUCGCCUCGCUUUUCUAUCUCGGAGAUGCAUGCGUGAUAUGUUCGCCUAAGAAACGAAGAAACACACUCUCUCUCUAAUUUAUCGUUUGUUGUCACUUUCUCUUUCACACACAUACUCUUUUUGCACACUUACUCAUUCUCCUUCACACACACUUGAUCCCUCUCGACUUAGGCACUCUCCUCGGUCCAUAGCAUAUUGAUUUAUUGAAAAGUUAAACAUCACAAAGUUUGACCAUGUACGUGGAGAAAAACAAUUACAUCUGGAACGACAAACAUAUACCAUUAGAUUCACCAUGAGAUGUAGUUUCGUAUGAUGUAUCUUUGGUAUUGAAGAUAUAAAUAACACUUGUGUAAACCUGAUCAAAGUUUCCAAAGUUUGACUUCUAAAAAAAAUUACAUGCACUGCAUUAUCAAGCGGAUGGAAUAUCUCUUUCCCCCUCUCAGCUAUCUGACGCACCACUCAGCCUUAUCAGGGCUCCUCAAUCUCUCUCAAACUUUAUAUCUCCCUGGUUUACACAUACACAUGUCUCACUCGCGCUAUACAUAUAGACCCAUCCAACACUUUCCGCCCUUGUUCUCUCUCUAUGUGACAUGCACCCCCUAAUAAGUACCAUAACCCCUCACUCCAUCAUAGGCGCAAGCACUCCCCCCUAAGUAUGAGUAUCUCUCACUAGCUGUCAGGAACACACGCAUUGUCUCCUUCCAUCCAUACGUCUAUCUCGAUAUCUCUCGGGGUAUCUUUUAUCACGUACACACCUUGUCACUCGAUCUCCCACCCAUGUAGUGUUGGGUUUCGUAGUAAUAAUUUCAAAAAAAUUCCUAUGCACACGCAAGAUCAUGGUGAUGCAUAGCAACGAGAGGGGGAGAGUGUGAUCUACGUACCCUUGUAGAUCGACAACGGAAGCGUUAACUUGGUUGAUGUAGUCGUACGUCUCCACGGCCCGAUCGAUCAAGCACCGAAACCACGGCACCUCCGAGUUCUAGCACACGUUCAGCUCGAUGACGAUCCCCGGACUCCGAUCCAGCAAAGUGUCGGGGAAGAGUUCCGUCAGCACGAUGGCGUGGUGACGAUCUUGAUGUUCUACUGUCGCAGGGCUUCGCCUAAGCACCGCUACAAUAUUAUCGAGGACUAUGGUGGAAGGGGGCACCGCACACGGCUAAGAAUAUGAUCACGUGGAUCAACUUGUGUCUCUAGGGGUGCCCCUUGUCUCCGUAUAUAAAGCCUCAAAGGAGGGGGGCCGGCCGGCCAUCAUAGGGCGCGCCAGGAGGAGUCCUACUCCUUUCGGGAGUAGGACUCCCCCCUUUCCUAGUUGGAAUAGGAUUCGCGGAGGGGGAAAAGAGGAGAGAGAGAGGAGGAAGGGGGGCCGGCCCCCUCUCCUUGUCCUAUUUGGACCAAGGGGAGGAGGGGCGCGCAACCCAUCCCUGGCCACCUCUCCUAUCUCCCACUAAGGCCCACUAAGGCCCAUAUACCUCCCAGGGGGUUCCGGUAACCUCCCGGUAAACCGGUAAAAUCCUGAUUUCACCCGGAACGCUUCCGAUAUCCAAAUAUAGGCUUCCAAUAUAUCAAUCUUUAUGUAUCGACCAUUUCGAGACUCCUCGUCAUGUCCGUGAUCACAUCCGGGACUCCGAACAAACUUCGGUACAUCAAAAUGCAUAAACUCAUAAUAUAACUGCCAUCGUAACCUUAAGCGUGCGGACCCUACGGGUUUGAGAACAAUGUAGACAUGACCGAGACAUGUCGCCAGUCAAUAACCAAUAGCGGAACCUGGAUGCUCAUAUUGGCUCCUACAUAUUCUACGAAGAUCUUUUAUCGGUCAGACCGCAUAACAACAUACGUUGUUCCCUUUGUCAUCGGUAUGUUACUUGCCCGAGAUUCGAUCGUCGGUAUCCCAUACCUAGUUCAAUCUCGUUACCGGCAAGUCUCUUUACUCGUUCCGUAAUACAUCAUCCUACAACUAACUCAUUAGUUGCAAUACUUGCAAGGCUUCAGUGAUGUGCAUUACCGAGAGGGCCCAGAGAUACCUCUCCGACAAUCGGAGUGACAAAUCCUAAUCUCGAAAUACGCCAACCGAACAUGUACCUUUGGAGACACCUGUAGAGCUCCUUUAUAAUCACCCAGUUAUGUUGUGACGUUUGGUAGCACACAAAGUGUUCCUCCGGCAAACGGGAGUUGCAUAAUCUCAUAGUCAUAGGAACAUGUAUAAGUCAUGAAGAAAGCAAUAGCAACAUACUAAACGAUCGGGUGCUAAGCUAAUGGAAUGGGUCAUGUCAAUCAGAUCAUUCAACUAAUGAUGUGAUCCCGUUAAUAAAAUGACAACUCUUUGUCCAUGGUUAGGAAACAUAACCAUCUUUGAUUAACGAGCUAGUCAAGUAGAGGCAUACUAGUGACACUCUGUUUAUCUAUGUAUUCACACAUGUAUUAUGUUUCCGGUUAAUACAAUUCUAGCAUGAAUAAUAAACUUUUAUCAUGAUAUAAGGAAAUAAAUAAUAACUUUAUUAUUGCCUCUAGGGCAUAUUUCCUUCAGUCUCCCACUUGCACUAGAGUCAAUAAUCUAGAUUAUACUGUAAUGAUUCUAACACCCAUGGAGCCUUGGUGCUGAUCAUGUUUUGCUCGUGGAAGAGGCUUAGUCAACGGGUCUGCUACAUUCAGAUCCGUAUGUAUCUUGCAAAUCUCUAUGUCUCCCACCUAGACUAGAUCCCGGAUGGAAUUGAAGCGUCUCUUGAUGUGCUUGGUUCUCUUGUGAAAUCUGGAUUCCUUCGCCAAGGCAAUUGCACCAGUAUUGUCACAAAAGAUUUUCAUUGGACCCGAAGCACUAGGUAUGACACCUAGAUCGGAUAUGAACUCCUUCAUCCAGACUCCUUCGUUUGCUGCUUCCGAAGCAGCUAUGUACUCCGCUUCACAUGUAGGUCCCGCCACGACGCUUUGUUUAGAACUGCACCAACUGACAGCUCCACCAUUUAAUGUAAACACAUAUCCGAUUUGCGAUUUAGAAUCGUCCGGAUCAGUGUCAAAGCUUGCAUCAACGUAACCGUUUACGAUGAGCUCUUUGUCACCUCCAUAUACGAGAAACAUAUCCUUAGUCCUUUUCAGGUACUUCAGGAUGUUCUUGACCGCUGUCCAGUGAUCCACUCCUGGAUUACUUUGGUACCUCCCUGCUAGACUUAUAGCAAGGCACACAUCAGGUCCGGUACACAGCAUUGCAUACAUGAUAGAGCCUAUGGCUGAAGCAUAGGGAACAUCUUUCAUUUUCUCUCUAUCUUCUGCAGUGGUCGGGCAUUGAGUCUGACUCAACUUUACACCUUGUAACACAGGCAAGAACCCUUUCUUUGCUUGAUCCAUUUUGAACUUCUUCAAAACUUUGUCAAGGUAUGUGCUUUGUGAAAGUCCAAUUAAGCGUCUUGAUCUAUAUCUAUAGAUCUUAAUGCCUAAUAUGUAAGCAGCUUCACCGAGGUCUUUCAUUGAAAAACUCUUAUUCAAGUAUCCCUUUAUGCUAUCCAUAAAUUCUAUAUCAUUUCCAAUCAGUAAUAUGUCAUCCACAUAUAAUAUCAGAAAUGCUACAGAGCUCCCACUCACUUUCUUGUAAAUACAGGCUUCUCCGAAAGUCUGUAUAAAACCAAAUGCUUUGAUCACACUAUCAAAGCGUUUAUUCCAACUCUGAGAGGCUUGCACCAGUCCAUAAAUGGAUCGCUGGAGCUUGCACACUUUGUUAGCUCCCUUUGGAUCGACAAAACCUUCUGGUUGCAUCAUAUACAACUCUUCUUCCAGAAAUCCAUUCAGGAAUGCAGUUUUGACAUCCAUCUGCCAAAUUUCAUAAUCAUAAAAUGCGGCAAUUGCUAACAUGAUUUGGACAGACUUAAGCAUCGCUACGGGUGAGAAGGUCUCAUCGUAGUCAAUCUCUUGAACUUGCUGAAACCCUUUUGCGACAAGUCGAGCUUUGUAGACAGUAAUAUUACCGUCGUCGUCAGUCUUCUUCUUGAAGAUCCAUUUAUUCUCAAUUGCUUGCCGAUCAUUGGGCAAGUCAAGCAAAGUCCACACUUUGUUCUCAUACAUGGAUGCCAUCUCAGAUUUCAUGGCUUCAAGCCAUUUUGCGGAAUCUGGGCUCACCAUCGCUUCUUCAUAGUUCGUAGGUUCAUCAUGAUCUAGUAGCAUGACUUCCAGAACAGGAUUACCGUACCACUCUGGCGCGGAUCUCACUCUGGUUGAUCUACGAGUUUCAGUAGUAUCUUGUUCUGAAGUUUCAUGAUCAUUAUCAUUAGCUUCCUCACUAAUUGGUGUAGGUGUCACUGAAAUAGUUUUCUGUGAUGCACUACUUUCCAAUAAGGGAGCAGGUACAGUUACCUCGUCAAGUUCUACUUUCCUCCCACUCACUUCUUUCGAGAGAAACUCCUUCUCCAAAAAGUUUCCGAACUUAGCAACAAAAGUCUUGCCUUCGGAUCUGUGAUAGAAGGUGUAUCCAAUAGUCUCCUUUGGAUAUCCUAUGAAGACACAUUUCUCCAAUUUGGGUUCGAGCUUAUCAGGUUGAAGCUUUUUCACAUAAGCAUCGCAGCCCCAAACUUUCAGAAACGACAACUUUGGUUUCUUGCCAAACCAUAGUUCAUAAGGCGUCGUCUCAAUGGAUUUUGAUGGUGCCCUAUUUAACGUGAAUGCGGUCGUCUCCAAAGCAUAACCCCAAAACGAUAGCGGUAAAUCAGUAAGAGACAUCAUAGAUCGCACCAUAUCUAGUAAAGUACGAUUACGACGUUCGGACACACCAUUACGCUGUGGUGUUCCGGGUGGCAUGAGUUGCGAAACUAUUCCGCAUUGUUUCAAAUGUACACCAAACUCGUAACUCAAAUAUUCUCCUCCACGAUCAGAUCAUAGAAACUUUAUUUUCUUGUUACGAUGAUUUUCAACUUCACUCUGAAAUUCUUUGAACUUUUCAAACGUUUCAGACUUAUGUUUCAUUAAGUAGAUAUACCCAUAUCUGCUUAAGUCAUCUGUGAAGGUGAGAAAAUAACGAUAUCCGCCACAAGCCUCAAUAUUCAUCGGACCACAUACAUCUGUAUGUAUGAUUUCCAACAAAUCUGUUGCUCUCUCCAUAGUACCGGAGAACGGCGUUUUAGUCAUCUUGCCCAUGAGGCACGGUUCGCAAGUACCAAGUGAUUCAUAAUCAAGUGGUUCCAAAAGUCCAUCAUUAUGGAGUUUCUUCAUGCGCUUUACACCGAUAUGACCUAAACGGCAGUGCCACAAAUAAGUUGCACUAUCAUUAUCAACUCUGCAUCUUUUGGCUUCAACAUUAUGAAUAUGUGUGUUACUACUAUCGAGACUCAAUAAGAAUAGACCACUCUUCAAGGGUGCAUGACCAUAAAAGAUAUUACUCAUAUAAAUAGAACAACCAUUAUUCUCUGAUUUAAAUGAAUAACCGUCUCGCAUCAAACAAGAUCCAGAUAUAAUGUUCAUGCUUAACGCUGGCACCAAAUAACAAUUAUUUAGGUCUAAUAUUAAUCCCGAAGGUAGAUGUAGAGGUAGCGUGCCGACCGCGAUCACAUCGACUUUGGAACCGUUUCCCACACGCAUCGUCACCUCGUCCUUAGCCAAUCUUCGCUUAAUCCGUAGUCCCUGUUUCGAGUUGCAAAUAUUAGCAACAGAACUAGUAUCAAAUACCCAGGUGCUACUGCGAGCAUUAGUAAGGUACACAUCAAUAACAUGUAUAUCACAUAUACCUUUGUUCACCUUGCCAUCCUUCUUAUCCGCCAAAUACUUGGGGCAGUUCCGCUUCCAGUGACCAGUAUGCUUGCAGUAGAAGCACUCAGUUUCAGGCUUAGGUCCAGACUUGGGUUUCUUCUCUUGAGCAGCAACUUGCUUGCUGUUCUUCUUGAAGUUCCCCUUCUUCUUCCCUUUGCCCUUUUUCUUGAAACUAGUGAUCUUGUUGACCAUCAACACUUGAUGCUCCUUCUUGAUUUCUACCUCCGCAGCUUUCAGCAUUGCGAAGAGCUCAGGAAUAGUCUUAUUCAUCCCUUGCAUAUUAUAGUUCAUCACGAAGCUCUUGUAGCUUGGUGGAAGUGAUUGGAGAAUUCUCUCAAUGACGCUAUCAUCCGGAAGAUUAACUCCCAGUUGAAUCAAGUGAUUACAAUACCCAGACAUCUUGAGUAUAUGCUCACUGACAGAAGUGUUCUCCUCCAUCUUGCAGCUAUAGAACUUAUUGGAGACUUCAUAUCUCUCAAUCCGGGCAUUUGCUUGAAAUAUUAACUUCAACUCCUGGAACAUCUCAUAUGCCCCAUGACGUUCAAAACAUCGUUGAAGUCCCGGUUCUAAGCCGUAAAGCAUGGCACAUUAAACUAUCAAGUAGUCAUCAGCUUUGCUCUGCCAGACGUUCAUAACAUUUGGUGUUGCUCCAGCAGCAGGCCUGGCACCCAGCGGUGCUUCCAGGACGUAAUUCUUCUGUGCAGCAAUGAGGAUAAUCCUCAAGUUACGGACCCAUUCCAUGUAAUUGCUACCAUCAUCUUUCAACUUUGCUUUCUCAAGGAACGCAUUAAAAUUCAACGGAACAACAGCACAAGCCAUCUAUCUACAAUCAAACAUACAUAAUCAAGAUACUAUCAGGUACUAAGUUCAUGAUAAAUUUAGGUUCAAUUAAUCAUAUUACUUAAAGAACUCCCACUUAGAUAGACAUCCCUCUAAUCCUCUAAGUGAUUACGUGAUCCAAGUCAACUAAACCAUGUCCGAUCAUCACGUGAGAUGGAGUAGUUUCGUUGGUGAACAUCACUAUGUUGAUCAUAUCUACUAUAUGAUUCACGCUCGACCUUUCGGUCUCCGUGUUCCGAGGCCAUAUCUGUAUAUGCUUGGCUCGUCAAGUAUAACCUGAGUAUUCUGCGUGUGCAACUGUUUUGCACCCGUUGUAUUUGAACGUAGAGCCUAUCACACCCGAUCAUCACGUGGUGUCUCAGCACGAAGAACUUUCGCGACGGUGCAUACUCAGGGAGAACACUUCUUGAUAAUUAGUGAGAGAUCAUCUUAUAAUGCUACCGUCAAUCAAAGCAAGAUAAGAUGCAUAAAAGAUAAACAUCACAUGCAAUCAAUAUAAGUGAUAUGAUAUGGCCAUCAUCAUCUUGUGCUUGUGAUCUCCAUCCUCGAAGCACCGUCGUGAUCACCAUUGUCACCGGCGCGACACCUUGAUCUCCAUCGUAGCAUCGUUGUCGUCUCGCCAAUCUCAUGCUUCCAUGACUAUCGCUACCGCUUAGUGAUAAAGUAAAGCAUUACAGCAUGAUUGCAUUGCAUACAAUAAAGCGACAACCAUAUGGCUCCUGCCAGUUGCCGAUAACUCGGUUACAAAACAUGAUCAUCUCAUACAAUAAAAUUUAGCAUCAUGUCUUGACCAUAUCACAUCACAACAUGCCCUGCAAAAACAAGUUAGACGUCCUCUACUUUGUUGUUGCAAGUUUUACGUGGCUGCUACGGGCUUAAGCAAGAACCAAUCUUACCUACGCAUCAAAACCACAACAAUAGUUUGUCAAGUUGGUGCUAUUUUAACAUUCGCAAGGACCGGGCGUAGCCACACUCGGUUCAACUAAAGUUGGGGAAACUGUCACCCGCUAGCCACCUUUGUGCAAAGCACGUCGGGAGAACCGGUCUCGCGUAAGCGUACGCGUAAUAUCGGUCCGGGCUGCUUCGUCCAACAAUACCGCCGAACCAAAGUAUGACAUGCUGGUAAGCAGUAUGACUUAUAUCGCCCACAACUCACUUGUGUUCUACUCGUGCAUAUAACAUCAACACAAAAAACCUAGGCUCGGAUGCUACUAUUGGGUUUCGUAGUAAUAAUUUCAAAAAAAUUCCUACGCACACGCAAGAUCAUGGUGAUGCAUAGCAACGAGAGGGGGAGAGUGUGAUCUAUGUACCCUUGUAGAUCGACAACGGAAGGAUUAACUUGGUUGAUGUAGUCGUACGUCUCCACGGCCCGACCGAUCAAGCACCGAAACCACGGCACCUCCGAGUUCUAGCACACGUUCAGCUCGAUGACGAUCCCCGAACUCCGAUCCAGCAAAGUGUUGGGGAAGAGUUCCGUCAGCACGACGGCGUGGUGACGAUCUUGAUGUUCUACUGUCGCAGGGCUUCGCCUAAGCACCGCUACAAUAUUAUCGAGGACUAUGGUGGAAGGGGGCACCGCACACGGCUAAGAAUAUGAUCAUGUGGAUCAACUUGUGUCUCUAGGGGUGCCCCUGUCUCCAUAUAUAAAUCCUCAAAGGAGGGGGGCCGGCCGGCCAUCAUAGGGCGCGCCAGGAGGAGUCCUACUCCUUUCGGGAGUAGGACUCCCCCCUUUCCUAGUUGGAAUAGGAUUCGCGGAGGGGGAAAAGAGGAGAGAGAGAGGAGGAAGGGGGGCCGGCCCCCUCUCCUUGUCCUAUUCGGACCAAGGGGGGAGGGGCGUGCGGCCCAUCCCUGACCACCUCUCCUAUCUCCCACUAAGGCCCACUAAGGCCCAUAUACCUCCUGGGGGGUUCCGGUAACCUCCCGGUAAUCCGGUAAAAUCCCGAUUUCACUCGGAACGCUUCCGAUAUCCAAAUAUAGGCUUCCAAUAUAUCAAUAUUUAUGUCUCGACCAUUUCGAGACUCCUCGUCAUGUCCGUGAUCACAUCCGGGACUCCGAACAAACUUCGGUACAUCAAAAAUGCAUAAACUCAUAAUAUAACUGUCAUCGUAACCUUAAGCGUGCGGACCCUACGGGUUCGAGAACAAUGUAGACAUGACCGAGACACGUCUCCGGUCAAUAACCAAUAGCGGAACCUGGAUGCUCAUAUUGGCUCCUACAUAUUCUACGAAGAUCUUUUAUCGGUCAGACCGCAUAACAACAUACGUUGUUCCCUUUGUCAUCGGUAUGUUACUUGCCCGAGAUUCGAUCGUCGGUAUCCCAUACCUAGUUCAAUCUCGUUACCAGCAAGUCUCUUUACUCGUUCCGUAAUACAUCAUCCCGCAACUAACUCAUUAGUUGCAAUGCUUGCAAGGCUUCAGUGAUGUGCAUUACCGAGAGGGCCCAGAGAUACCUCUCAGACAAUCGGAGUGACAAAUCCUAAUCUCGAAACACGCCAACCCAACAUGUACCUUUGGAGACACCUGUAGAGCUCCUUUAUAAUCACCCAGUUACGUUGUGACGUUUGGUAGCACACAAAGUGUUCCUCCGGCAAACGGGAGUUGCAUAAUCUCAUAGUCAUAGGAACAUGUAUAAGUCAUGAAGAAAGCAAUAGCAACAUACUAAACGAUCGGGUGCUAAGCUAAUGGAAUGGGUCAUGUCAAUCGGAUCAUUCAACUAAUGAUGUGAUCCCGUUAAUCAAAUGACAACUCUUUGUCCAUGGUUAGGAAACAUAACCAUCUUUGAUUAACGAGCUAGUCAAGUAGAGGCAUACUAGUGACACUCUGUUUGUCUAUGUAUUCACACAUGUAUUAUGUUUUCGGUUAAUACAAUUCUAGCAUGAAUAAUAAACUUUUAUCAUGAUAUAAGGAAAUAAAUAAUAACUUUAUUAUUGCCUCUAGGGCAUAUUUCCUUCAUGUAGUCCCAUCACGAUCUCCAAGGAUCUCUCUAUGACAAACAUACACUCUCUCCUCCCCAUGUUUGCAUUUUCUCCAUUGUUUGUCAUACCCCUCUUGGCCAUGUGCUAGGGGUCUUGCUCUCUCGGUUGCAAACAAUCACACACUAUCUCCUCAUCCUUGCUUCCGUUAUCAAAGAUGCAUGUGUGAUAUGUUCGCAUAAGACACACACAUUUUUUCUUGACUUUUAUCGAGUGUUGUCCAUGUCUCUUUCAUACACGCACACACACUUUUUUCACUCACUCUUUCUAUUUCACUCUCUCUCUCUAGUUAGGGACUCUCACGUCCAUAAGCAUAUGGAUGUUUUGAAAAGUCAAACCUCAGAAAAGUUUGACCAGGUAUAUGUGGAGAAAAACAUUUACACCUGGAAAGAUCAUUAGAUUCAUCACAACAUAUACUUACUUCAUACUUGGUAUUGUAGAUAUAAGUAAUUUCUUUAUAAACUUGGUCAAAGUUUCAAAAGUUUGACUUUUAAAAAAAUGUUGGAACUACAUUAUCGAGCGGAGGGAGUAGCUCUUUCUCUCUCUCUGCGCUAUCUCUCACGAGCCUGCCCUCUCACACGAACACUCUAUACCGACGGAUUAUACACUCACUGUGUCAGCGUAUAGCUCCGUAUAUUGUUUAGUUGACCGGUCAACCAGUCCACAUGCUGCCUUGUCAGCUCGUGUUCUGUAUCUUCGUGUGCUGGCCCAUGUGGCAGUGGGUGAAAAUAAGUAAACUAGAGGCCCAUCUGAUACGCGGUGAAGUAAAAAAAAGUUGAAACCACUCGGGGUAGCACCCUGCACGCUAGUAAAUUGAGGGCGCUUUGAGGACACACUUCUUCCGCGUGGAGGACACACUCGCGCACAAUUCACCACUGCACAGCGGCAUGCAUAGAAGGACGCACUCGCGCACACCCAACACACAACACACACCAUCACACGUGUACACCAGCGUCGCCGCUGGUUGAGAUGGACGGCGAGGCAGCCAACAAGCGGAGGCGGCUCGAGCCAAAACUGCAUCCGGCGAGCCUGGACUUCAUCAGCAGCCUCCCCGACGACAUGAUGCUCAUCAUCAUCGGCCUCCUUCCCACCAAAUCUGCUGUGCGGACCGCCCUGCUCUCCCGGCGGUGGCACCCCCUCUGGCAUCGCGUCCCCCUCAACCUCACCGUCGACAGCUGCCUCUGUGAUGGGGAUUGCAAACGCAUGGCCGCAGUCUCCAAGAUCCUUUCAUCGCACCCUGGGCCAGCCAGAUGCCUUGACAUCCGCAUGUUCAGUACCAACUGCAAGGUCCAACCCAAUUUCGACGAGUGGUUCUUAUCCCCCGCCCUAGAUCAGCUCGAGGAGCUCAGCUUUGAAGCUGGACGAUGUCGCUCUCUACCGCUGUCCAUGCUCCGCCUCACGCCAACACUGCGCCGCACUAGCUUCAGCUCCUGCUAUCUUCCCCAGAUUAAUGUCGCGCCCGCCCUUCUUCUCCCUCAACUCAAGCAGCUCGACCUCUUCAACGUUGUCAUCUCGAAGAAGGCUAUGGAGCACCUGCUCCGCAACUCUAUUGCGCUUGAGUACCUUCGUCUUGAGCAGAUCCACGGGUUCAUUAGCCUCCACAUCACCUCGACGAAUCUCCGAUGGAUUUAUGUGUCUUGCUAGCCCCGCAACAAGACAUCAAUUGGGAAGAGAUUACUCCAGCUGUUCCACGUUAUGGUCAUUGAGAAUGUGCCUUUCCUUGAGAGAUUACUUGUAUCAGAUCUUGAAGGUCCAACAAAAAUCAGGGUCAUUGAUGCGCCGAAAUUAACAGCGUUGGUGCACUCGUCUGCCAAAUUCUCCAAACUCUUUAUUGGAUCCAUAAUCGUUUAGGUACAACACUCAUCUUCUUCUCCGUCUUCUUGAAAUUCACAUUUUUAAAUUUCUUCUUGAUGUAUUUAUGACUGUCUUCCAGAAAAUGAUUCCCACAAGCUUGACCCAGUCUAUGUGCAUAGUGAAGAUCUUGGCAAUAAAAUCUACCGGCCCCAAUCUGGAUCAAGUUGUUGGAUUCCUUACAUGCUUUCCGUGCACGGAGAAGCUACUCAUCGAGGUGAAACUUCUUUCCUAUUAGUAAACGUUAAUCACAACGUAGCUCAAAUUUUUCGUAAUUUUCCCAAAUUACGAUGACAAGUGUAGUGUUCAAAACUGCAUCUAUGCACUGCACCGAAAGAAAUGUUUUUAGUAUUUUUUCUCACGUGAUCACCUGCAUCAUUUUUUUGUUGUACUACUAUAGUAGCCUAGGCUAGUCAUAGUGGAAAGUAACUUAGACUACUCCAGUAACUCUAUGGUUACCCUAAGAGCAAGUACUACCUCCGUCCUGGUUUACUCUUCCUAUUUUGCAGUAUCAAAAUUUGACCAUAGAUUUAACUGACAAAAUGUUAAUGCAUGUCACUAAGAACUAUAUCGUUGGAUCCGUAUUUGAACAUAAUUUCAAAUGGUGUAACUUUUAGUGACAUGCAUUGGCAUUUUCUUACGUAAAUCUAUGGUCAAAAUUUUAUACUAAGUAAGAGGUAGUACAAAAGUGGGCUAUAAUGGCUGUCGGUGUCAAAACUGGCGGAUCUCGGGUAGGGGGUCCCGAACUGUGUGUUUAUGCCAGAUGGUAACAGGAGGCAAGGAACACGAUGUUUUACCCAGGUUCGGGCCCUCUCGUUGGAGGUAAAACUCUACGUCCUGCUUGAUUAAUAUUGAUGAUAUGGGUAGUACAAGAGUAGAUCUACCACGAGAUCAAGGAGGCUAAACCCUAGAAGCUAGCCUAUGGUAUGAUUGUUGUAUAUGGAGUUGAUGUCCUACGGACUACAAUCCUCCGGUUUAUAUAGACACCGGAUAGGGUUAGGGUUACAUAGAGUCGGUUACAAUGGUAGGAGAUCUUGAAUAUCCGCAUCGCCAAGCUUGCCUUCCAUGCCAAGGAAAGUCCCAUCCGGACACGGGAUGAUGUCUUCAAUCUUGUAUCUUCAUAGUCCAGGAGUCCGGCUGAAGGUAUAGUCCGGCUACCCGAACACCCCCUAAUCCAGGACUCCCUCAAUGGGCCUCCACUAUGUAGGGCAAAACACGUGCCAAAUUCACUUGUGAUGCAUUUGACAUCGAUGCCCCUCCAUUGCUUACCUGGUGCCCCAAUCUGGAUCACCUACUUUGCUCCGGUGCCAAAUUAAUAACUCGCGCAAUGAAAAAACACUUGCGUGGGAGAGAGAGAGGAUUGAGGCAAUAAAAACACUUGUUUGGGAGAGUGAGAGGCUGGUGUAGUUGGUUUGAUUGAUUUUUUUAUACAUGUGGGUCUGUGUGCAUAGCGGUGCCAACUCUCUCACAUCGCGAGAGCGGUGCCAAAAUCUUUUGAUUUGACAUCGAUGCGUAUAAUGUGGCAUACUUUUGUGAAAUAUGGCAUCGGCCACAUAGUGGAAGGAAACAAAUUCCCAAGAUCUUCACGUACUCCUAGGUAAAUGAGAGGAAAGAGAAAGAGAGAGAGAGGGAGAGUGAAAAAAUAUCACUAGCUAGCCAACCCUAUCGUAUGAGCGAAUGAUAUUGGUACCUCUUGAUGACAUGGCAAUCUUAUAUAGCCAGCUUCUCUAAUAUGUUCUCUUCUUUUGCAGAUAAAAAAAGACCCGAAAGUGAAAAAUGUGCUGCACUAUAACAAUCUCAUCGAAUGCCUUGAUCUCCAUCUUACAGAAAUUGAUUUGAUCGACUACCGAGGCAGCACAUCUGAGAUUAAAUUGGCUAGGUUCUUUGUUCUGGAGGCAAGUGUGCUCAAGGUAAUGAGGUUUGGCAUUCUCUGGCACAACAAUGAAUGGUGUGCUGAUCACUGCAAGCGUCUAAGCCUAAAUGACAAAGUCUCCAUAGAAGCUGAAUUUGUUUUUGAAACAUCAAGUGGCCAGAGACUCGAAAACUUAUUUGCCCAUUAGUGACUUAUCAGGGCGGUGGAUUUUAGUUUGUACGAUAAUGCUGCAUCCACCUAAAGUAACGAAAUUUCUUACGUAAACUUCCUAGUAAUUUCCUCUUCGUAGGUGCAGCAUUACUCCUAACAUUUGUAAUAUCAGUUUGAAACUUGUAAUAUUGCCGUGUCCUAUUCGUGCGUUUUCAAAAUCCUACGAAUCAAACAGGUCAUGAGUUGGUGAUGAUGUUGUGCCUGCCAUCUUUCACCAAUAGCCGUCGGAUCUAGAUUUGACGCAUACAAAACAAACUUCUCCAGUUUUGCAAAAAGAUGCCCGCACUUGUUCCCUAUUUACAAACAACUCCUUGUCUCUCACAAUCAGCCUUAUCUCCUGCCCACCACAUCUAGAAGGCAAUGGGAAAAUCUGGCGCGAUGGCCGCUGCCGGCGCCAUCCACCCCCCCAAUCUUAGUGUUCCGUGCAAUGCAUGGGCAUCUACGCACGGGAAAUUAUGUCGAACACAACUAGUUGUAAGCAGGCUAGGUCUACAGCCAUGAUGAUAGUGACUGCAGACGGUGAGGCUGACUAUAGUAUGCCAAACACGACGCCUAUACUCAGGUGUCAUCUCCGGCGUAGGGUCUUGUCACUUCACUGUGAGGAGCAGCACGUAAUAAUUUGACCAAUGGGUAGUACAGUGCUACUACAUUGGUAGUACUACUACUAAUACUAGCACCACCGUCUGGAUUUAGUAGUACUACCACGCCCAUCUGGAUUUAGUAUUUGACUAGCAAUAUCUAGUAAUGCAUGUCACAAAAAAUGUACUACUCCCUCUGUAAAUAAAUACAUGGUGUAUUGUUUUAUUCCUGUCGGCGAGAUAACUUAAUGUAUUUUUGCUACUUAAUAGGAUUACAUGCAAUGAACUAACCACUGCAUGUGAUGUUUGGUAGUCUCAAGUCAUUGAAACCAUGCACGGGCACGGAGGGGGACGCAACUUCAUUGACUUACUGCACCUGCCUUUGGGUGUAUGACACGUGGGCCCAACGGGUGGCUGGCCAACCUGUCAUACAGCCAAAGGCAGGUGCAGUAGAGGGGCGAGGAGUAGAUGGCCAACACGCACGUGAAUUCAACGCAGUCUGCACUUCUCAUAUAAAGGCUCCCGCCAGUCCAAUCUACGAAAUCCUAUGCACCUACGCACCCAAGGGAAAGAGUGAUCACUCCAGUCGCAAGAUUAAUUGACUAGAAGCUAGACCCAUGGAGGCAAUGAGCGCGAGCAUCAGCCGGCUGUGCCAGAUGGUCCACGAUGCCGGCCUACGGCCUGGCACCGAGGAACGUCUCCAGGUAGUGCUUGAGGCCGCCAGGGCGAGGGGCCGCUUGGACGACAACGUCGUCUCCUUGUUCGACGAGGUCCUCGUUGGCUUCCUCGACAAGUUCACCGUCGUCAGGAAGCUCGCGGAUGACCUUGACGUACGCCUCCAGCCCACGCGCCCAGGCUCUGUGAUGCCUGCCACCGUCAACGGCCUCUAUGGUGACAACCUCUUCGACGCACUGGUGGCCCUGCGACUGCCCGUCGUCACGCUGGAGAAUGUCCACGUCAAGGUCGCGCUCGCCGUGCAACGCCUGGCGCAGCAAGACACCAUCGACAUAAUCACCCACAUCUACGUGCAAAUCGUACACAAGGACUACUACAUGCAAGAGGAGGACGAUAGGACGCUGGCCUUCUUGGACCGCAAGGCAACUUUGGACGACAUUGUUCAGAAGCACGUUGAUCUUGCCGCCAACGCCGCUGCUCCUCACACGUCGGUUGGUGACCCGGUGCACUAGGGCGUGAGGAUGUCGUUAAUGGAUCCGUAUGUAUCUUUAUCUUUCCGUCAAAUCCAUGUAGUAGUAUAUGGUACUACUAGUAAUUAUCUUACCUUUCGCAUCAACUUCAUAAUUUUCCUACGUACUCCAUGCAUGAACCGCGCCAGAACCAAACUUCUCAUUACUCUGGGAAAAUCGUUAUUUCUAUCUAUCGGUCACGCCAUGGAGCAGAACCAAAUUUUACAAGUUACAAGUUCAAAAGGAAAAGCCUGCCGUGUUCGAGUAGCACCCCCACACGGUUGGUCCGGCACGCCGCUCAAGGGGGAAUGCGUGUUGUGUUGCAUUUUCACUUACAAGUGGGACCGCAGUUGAGCAAACUGACUAUCGACAAACCCCCACCCCGCCCACCGCGUGAUGGCUGAGAAAACAGGAGGGAGAAGAGAUGGCUGUAGCACGGACUCCAAGAAAAUUGGUGUCGGAUGGGACUCGUGUGGGUGGCGUGUGCCGUACUGCUAGACAUGAAUGCUAGUUAUGGCCCAUACCACCCCACUAUAUCGAGGUGCUGGUUACGUAGAACAAAUUUCCUGGAGUCCGUGCUCAGCCCUCCUCUAUCUCUCUUCUCAGCCAUCCAGCAGACGCGUGGAGCCCAUCGUCUGUUUGCUCAUAUGCGGUCCCACAUGUCAGUGAAAAUGCAAGAGGACCCACUGAACCUGCACAUCUUUCACCUCGACGUGCUGGUGAUGAAAAACAAAUCCAAUAAAGAUCUUCGGUGGCCGCUUUUGGAGUUACUCAAGAGUAGUAAGAUUCUAUUUACAGUUUAACCCAAGAUGCACGUCACGUGGCUUCAACUACCACUCUAUUUUCUUGCAUGACACGACCUGGAUGCUGGAUGUCCCACGUGUCGGCAAAAGGAGGAAGAACUCGACCAAAUCUUCGGUUGUGAUCUCGGAUUAGACUAGUUGUGCUAACUUAAAAUUUUAUUGUGUAGAAUGGAUGCACGUUUUGGUAUUGGGAAGAAGAGUACAACGGCAUAUUGAUAGAGCGCAAUUUAGUAGAUGUUCUAGCACUUUUAGCUAGCAUAGAGGCUAGAGAUGAGACUAGUGCACUUGUUGAUAGAAUAGAGGCUAGACCCGUCUACUUCUUUACACUCAAAGAAGAAAGAAGCACGUAGGAUCAAGCCUCCAUAGAUCAACAAUGAAUGCAUCGAGAAGGCACUAAUCCAACUUACAUGAGCAGUUAUGGAAGUUGGAUAUCUUCUAAAAUGUAUUCUUGUGGUUCUUGUUUUUCUAGUCAAAAUUUUGGUGAUCUAUUUCCAUGUACCAAAAAAUCAAUGAUGAAAAAAAGAUGUGUGUUUGCAAAGAAAAAUGUACGCGGCCGGGAUGCGUCCGCGCGUUCGGCGCACGGCCACCGCAUCCGACCGGACAUGACCCCAUUGCCCUACCCAAACGGACAGAAUCCGGGCAAAACGGGGGUUCGUUCGGGGUCGUGCAUUGGAGUUGGCCUUACAAGUGGGACCGCAGUUGAGGAAAACGACUAUCGGCAAAGCCCCACCUCGCCCGCCGCGCGAUGGCUGAGUUAGAGAAACGACGAGGUUGAAGAGAUUGAUGUAGCACGGACUCCAACAAAUAUGGUGUCAGAUGGAAGUCGUGCUGGUGGCGUGUGCCGUACUCCUGGACGUGAAUGCUUGUUCUGGCCCAUGCCACCCUACUACUCCUACUACUUAUAGUAGUAGUAUCGAGGAUUUGAGGUGCUGGUUAUGUACAACGAACACAUUAACAUAUGGCCCACCUCACACUGUGGCCAAAUUUCCGGGAGUCUGUGCUAGGUACAAUUAUGUAUUCGGAAAAUGUUUUUUGCCUCGUCGCAGCACCCACUCAGAGAAGCGACUCGAAAGCCAUUCAUAAAUUUAGUAAGUUUAUCACAGGCAUAUCAUUUUAUUACAUACAACAGGUCAUCAACCCACAACGACAACGUGGAUACAUUAUAAAUACUAAAGUUUUCAUCACACAACAAAUAACAAGCAAUGAAAUGAACUUCAACUCAACCAAUCCUCGUCGUUGGAAACACUUGCUUUGAACCACAAGUGAUUCUCUGGGAAUGGCCAGCUACUGUCAAUCUCGAGACCAACGCAGGACUGAUCAUCCAGGCUGAAGCGACCUACUAUAUCACGACCAGGGUAGGGAACCACCGCAAUGUCCGACGUAUAGAUAUAGUUGCUUCUCAUAAAUGGUAGUAACGUUGUGUCAAUAGCAGUUUGAUCGCCUUUCACCAUCAUUGGAUAGUUUUGUCCAAGGAAGAGCGAGUUUGCUCCAAGACUAUCAAUACGGUACCAGGGAGAAGGUGUUGGCGCUAGCACAGUAGUAUCCAUCCCGAAUACCAUACAACGGGUGUUGGAAUAGGUCCGGAGAGUGCGACCAUGGGAGACAACACCUGAUUCCUUAGUAGUAACAUCAGCAGUGGGCUGUAUACAGACAAGAAGGAGUGAUCCAUCGGAAGUUGCCAGGCGCCACUGAGUAUAUCGGCCCUCCUUGUCCUCAUCUCCCCCUUGGUUAUAAAUUUUUUGAAGUAUAGGUGGUGGAAUGUCCACAGGACCUUGGAAACACAAGAAGAAGGUUAAUUAGUAGAGAAGGGAAACUUGCUAACUCGCAUGCAUGUGGAUGAAACAAUUAUAAUUACGGUGGAAGACAAACGUACCGAAACUACGAGGAUCCCAUGCAAAAACAGUGCCACGAGUGGUGGCAGCUAACACAAGACCCUCGUAUUCAAUUGCAUCACAGUACACAUCCGUGUAUAGAAACUGAUUUUUGAGCAAUAUCCAUCCAGUCGAACCACGACGGAUAGCAACAAACUUGUCGAAGAUAGCAACAACUUGAUAGUUCUUGUAAUUCCAAGAGCGGUUGGGAACUCGAGAAAUUGCUAUGUUCCGUAGACGACAAUCCCCAUGAUCAUAUUUGAACGUACGUAGAUCAUCUGUGUGCUCAACCUCAGGGCACUCGGAGAUUUUUGGAAGUGGAAUUUGCUGAUGAGUGUACACAUUCACAAGUUUCCACUUGCAAUUGUACCCAAUAUAAACAACCCAAUCUCCAUUUGCGCCUGCCCAAGCCUUGCCCUCAAGCAAUGGCAUCUUAACAUCAUACGUAUCAUUAUCAAGCGGCAUCAACUUGCACAAGCCGAGGCUUCCCUCGCCCCCGCACCAGUCAGCAGCACUACAAGAAAUAUGUCAACUAGCGACCUUCUGUCAGUGACCCUGGAAGAAUUGGUCAUAGAUCCAUGACCAUUUCAGACCAAUUGGUCAAAAGCUGUUCGGGGGGCUCCAAACCCUAAACUAUAAUGACCAUUUUGGUCAGAAAGGUCAUAAUUUCCUUACACGAAAUGGUCAUAAAGCAGAUAGCACUGCUCCUGUGCCUUAUUUCUAGCUGAUCAUGACCAAUAUAGAUGGUCAUAACCUUGUAAAUUGUGGUGGGUUGCUAUGACUAGACGCCACCUCAUCAGUUUUUCCUAUGUGUCAUGUCCAUGUGGCAGUUUUUGCCCUAGGUUGUGAAGCAACCUAUAUUUCUGUCAUUCCCAAAAUUCCCAAAAAAAUCUCAUAAAUUCUUUGGGUCAUAUAUUCGUCAAAUAUGUAAAAAACCUUCCUUGCCUAGUUCAAAAAUAAUUCAAAAAUAUUCAUUUUCCUAUUAUGUUCAGAAAACACUUUGUGAAGGAAGUACCACUUUGGCAUGUCCAAAUGGUAUCCAUUUUCUACAGUGCUUUCCUCUACCCAAAUAACCAUUCUCCACCAAUGCCAGCUCAAUCCAUUCAUUAUUUUGAGCCGAGCUUCAACAUUCGUAUUUAUGUCCAGUCUGGUAGUUUGCAAAGCAAGUACCACCUAGGCUCCUCCUUUUGAGCUGAAAAUUUGUGAAGACGGUCUCUUAGUAACUGAUCAUCCUCAGCCAAAACUCACGCCCAUUAGCCAUGUACAUUUCCCGUACCGCUAAUCAAACACUUGGCUGCUAAUUCAUGUUUGAGCAUCGAUCGGUCUCCUCGUGAGAAUCUUAUGUUGUAAUUUUCUUCCUAGCACCUACCUGGGGAGUGCCCAACCCACUAGACAUGCCUAGGCUGCCCAGAACACAUGGCAACGCCAUGGUCAUGCGGUGACCACGCGGCGGGCAUGCGAGUUUACGCGCUCUAGAGUUGGGGGCCCCGGCCACCGCCCAAACCUCGACGUAUCGCCACCAAACCAUGUAUUUAUGAUUAAAUAGGUACUUAUGUAACUAUAAAUGAUUUUUGGAAAAAAAUAAAUAGUAAACUAUGAGGCAGCUGCAGUUCAAAUUUGACCCGCUUCCAACUGAAUCGGUGGGAAUUUGUCUUUUUCACCAGAGGUGGAUCAAAACUUUUGACACCCAACCAUUUUGUCAAUUGUGCAUUAAAUAUGGCCUAGUAUUUUAGAAAAUUGAUUUGGUCCAAUUUUGCAACAAAAUAUAUGGUAGGUCCUUCACAAAAAAACUCAUUUCGGGCACUUAGGAAAUGGAAAAUGUAUUUUCCGUGCAAAGAAAAUGAAAACUCCCUUAGGCAACAUUGUUUGGAAUUUCAAGAUGCACCCUUGUGCACAAUAUGAGAUCAUUUGAACAAACUAUGCCAAGAAUGUGGCGAUAAGAUUGAUCAUUUGGCUUGAAAGCCAUGAAUCUUCACACAUGAUAGCUCAUUUCUGAGAACACUUUUUUAAAAUAAUUGCCGUAUUACAAGUUUAUUAUUUUUCCUGGAAACAUGGUCACAUAUAAUGACACAAUGCGAAGGUUUUCCAAUUUUUUGUUUUUUUUUUGAAUUUUUUAUGCCCGUUUCAAAAUGCGGUCAAAACGGCGGGCUUGACCGUUCCUAGCUAGUGGUUGAAUCUUGGAUCUUUUUGGUGUUUCUAUGAUUAAAUAGAUACUUAUGUACCUAGAAAUGAUUUUUGGAAAAAUUAAAGAGCAAACUAUGAGGCAGCUGCAGUUCAAAUUUGACCCGCUUCCAGCUGAAUCGGCGGGAAUUUGUCUUUUUCACGAGAGGUGGAUCAAAAAUUUUUACACCCAACCAUUUGGUCAACUGUGCAUUAAAUAUGUCCUAGUAUUUUAGUAAAUUGAUUUGGUACAAUUUUGCAACAAAUCUAUGGUAGGUCCUUCACAAAAAAACCUCAUUUCGAGCACUCGAAAAAUAGAAAAUGAAUUUUUCAUGCAAAGAAAAUGAAAACUCCCUUAGGAAACAUUGUUUGGAAUUCCAAGAUGCACCGUUGUGCACAAUAUGAGAUCAUUUGAACAAACUAUGCCAUGAAUGUGGCCAUAAGAGUGAUCAUUUGGCUUGAAAGCCAUGAAUCUUCACGCAUGAUAGCUCAUUUCUGAGAACACUUUUUAAAAAUAAUUACCAUAUUAAAAGUUUAUAAUUUUUGCUGGUAACUUGGCCACAUAUGAUGACACAAUGCGGAGGUUUUCCAAUUUUUUGAUUUUUUUUGAAUUUUUUAUGCCCGUUUCAAAAUGCGGUCAAAACGACGGGCUUGACCGUUCCUAGCUAGUGGUUGAAUCUUGGAUUUUUUUGGUGUUUCUCUGAUUAGAUACUUAUGUACCAAGAAAUGAUUUUUGGAAAAAUUAAAGAGCAAACUAUGAGGCAGUUGCAGUUCAAAUUUGACCCACUUCCAGCUGAAUCGGUGGGAAUUUGUCUUUUUCACGAGAGGUGGAUCAAAACUUUUUACACCCAACUGUUUGGUCAAUCGUGCAUUAAAUAUGUCCUAGUAUUUUAGAAAAUUGAUUUGGUACAAUUUUGCAACAAAUAUAUGGUAGGUCCUUCACAAAAAAACCUCAUUUUGGGCACUCGAAAAAUAGAAAAUGAAUUUUCCGUGCAAAGAAAAUGAAAACUCCCUUAGGCAACAUUGUUUGGAAUUCCAAGAUGCACCCUUGUGCACAAUAUGAGAUCAUUUGAACAAACUAUGCCAUGAAUGUGGCCAUAAGAGUGAUCAUUUGGCUUGAAAGCCAUGAAUCUUCACGCAUGGUAGCUCAUUUCUAAGAACAUUUUUUUUAAAAUAAUUACCGUAUUACAAGUUUAUUAUUUUUUCUGGUAACUUGGUCACAUAUGAUGACACAACGUGAAGGUUUUGCAUUUUGUUGAUUUUUUUUUUUGAAUUUGUUAUGCCCAUUUCAAAAUGCGGUCGAAACGGCGGGCAUGACCGUUCAUAGCUAGGGGUUGAAUCUUGCCAAAAUUUUGUUGGAUCUCUGAUUAAGUAGAUACUUCUUUACCUAAAAAUGAUUUUUGUAAAAAAUCAUGAGCAGACUAUGAGGCACCUCUAGUUCAAAUUUGACCCGCUUCCAGUUGAAUCAACAUAGUUUUAUCUUUUUAUAAAAGGUGGAUUGAAACCUUUUGGCACCCAACCAUUUGGUAAAUUAUGCAUUGAAUAUGGACUAAUAUUUUAUAAAAAUAUUUUGGUCCAAUUUUGCAACAAAUAUUUGGUACGUCAUUCACAAAAAAACGCAUUUUGGACACUCAAAAAAUGGAAAACAAACUUUUUUGCAAAAAAAUGAAAAAUUCCCUAGUCAACAUUGUUUGUCAUUCAAGAUACAAACUUGUGCACAAUGUGAGACCAUUUUUUUUAUUUUUUCAUGUGUAAAAGUAGAAGAAAAACAAAAGAAAAUACACAAAUCACAUAUACUCUAUUCCCAUUGGUGGAGUUGGUCUGACACGGAUUGAUGACAUGGCGCCCAUCCAUCCAUCAAUCAUCCCACAUCCAUCCAUCCAUUUAUCUAUAGAGAACAAAAAAGAAAAAAGAAAAAAGAAAAUGAAAAGGGGAAACCCCACAGACCCACCCACCCCGAUCCAUCCAUCCCACACCCCCUCUCGUCUCCCACCCACCCCGAUCCCAUCCCUCCCAAACCCUAACCCGCACCCGCACUCCUCCUUCCUCGGCUCCUCGCUGCCGCCACCUCCUCCCCAUCCCGUAGCGGCGCCCACCGCGUCACCUGCCGGCCGCCCUCGUGGGUGGCUGUGUCCACGGCAACGACGGAGGCCGCGGUCGGUCGUCUCCCAAUCCGCCUCUCUCCCUAACGCCAGACCCAAUCCGCCACCGUCCUCUUCUCCAGUCGCACCGGCGACCUCCAACCUCAUCGCCGGCAGCCCCUCCCCUUUCCUCCUAGAUCGACUCGAGCUGCUCAUGUCGUGGCCAGAUCUGGCAGGAACUCCCUCUAAGGGAGUCCUGGAUUAGGGGGUGUUUCGAUAGCCAGACUAUACCUUCAGCCGGACUCCUGGACUAUGAAGAUACAAGAUUGAAGACUCCGUCCCAUGUCCGGAAGGGACUUUCCUUGGCAUGGAAGGCAAGCUUGGCGAUACGGAUAUGAAGAUCUCCUACCAUUGUAACCGACUCUAUGUAACCCUAAUCGUAUCCGGUGCCUAUAUAAAUCGGAGGGUUUUAGUCUGUACGACGACAUACACAUCUACAAUCAUACCAUAGGCUAGCUUCUAGGGUUUAGACUCCUCGAUCUCGUGGUAGAUCUACUCUUGUACUACCCAUAUCAUCAAUAUUAAUCAAGCAGGACGUAGGAUUUUACCUCCAUCGAUGUAGCGACCAGACCUCAAACAGUCUGAUCUCUGUGCUCCGGUGUCAUCCCUGGAUCAGUAAUGCUGACACCACACGGUACUCGGAGGAUUUAUAACAGAGUAGCAAUCACACACUUAUUACAUCGAGGGUCUCCAUAGAGAAUUUAUUACAAUAAAUAUGGCUUAAGGCUAUCUAAUAACGAUAACAGCGGAAGGCUUGGAAGAUAAGUGAGUCCAUCAACCCCAACAGCAUCACUGAGUAUAGAACCACGACCUAAAAACUCCUUAAUCGUCGUCUAAAAAGUCUGCAACAUUAACAUUGCAGCCCGAAACGGGUCAGCACAUGGAAUAUGCUGGCAAGGUAACACAUAGAGAGUAAUGGAAUGAAACAACUAUACGAUAUGCAUAUUUGGCUGCUGAAAAGCUCUAUGGUUACAGUUUUGCGUAAAGCCAAUUUUCCCCUACUUCAAAGGAAUAAAUUUAUUUAACUAUCAUGGUAGUUGUUAAACAUUGAGAAUGGUUGACAACAUUCUCAAUCCCAAUUAAGCAUCAUCAUCAAACAAAACCCAAUCGAAUUAAUUUUAGAGUAACAUGUUGAGAUUCACAUGAAAAUCCAGGUACUAGAUACUCAAGAUGUCCAUAACCGGGGACACGACUAAUCAUGAUUAGUUUAUUACACUCUGUAGAGGUUUGCGCACUUUUCCCUACAAGACUCGAUCGCAUCCGUUUGGUUUCUCGCACUGCAAGGUGUUUGAGAAGAUGAUGACCGAGACAUAGUCUUUCAGAAGCGCUAGCACCUUACGAUCGGGUAGACCGUACCACCUACAUCCCCUACAUCUGCUAGUCUACCACUGUAAGAGUUCGCACGACUUAGUCAACUAUGCUAGAGCCCAUAAUAGCUUGUGGCUGCACACGGAAGUUUCUAGUAUGAAUAGUCUCAUGAUCCCUUUGAGUCUGGGUGGCGGUCCAAAAGAAAACAGGCAAGUCCUGGAAUACCCAGGUGCCUCAAUCCACCCAGAUGUGUGUUUAAGUUGCCACCUUAGAUAAACCAUUAAUUAACAAACUCACAUCUGUCAUGGAUAUCACUCACCCAAUCCACGUCUACUAGCAUAGCAUGGCAUAAUAAGCAAACGCAGAAGUAACUCCCAAAGGUUUGAUAAUAAAUAGGUAAUAGGUACUACAUCAACUACUUCCCAUCCCACAAUUUAAUUAGAUCCUAAUCAUGCAAUGUGUGAGGAUUGAUCUAAUGCAAUAAAACUGGGUAGUAGGAAAGGUAUGAUCAAAGUGUUACUUGCCUUGCUGAUGAUCCGGGAAACCUAGCGAUUCGAAGUAACAAGCGGCGCACUCCGGGUAUUCUAUCACAGACAAACAAACAAGCAUACAAUAAGUACUCAUCUAAUGCACAGGUAAAACUCAAAUAAGAGAUCUAACCAGAAGAUUCAACUUAAGAACUCCGGAUUGCAAAAAGAAUCAAAUCGAACGAAGCAAUGAAAGUCAAACGGCGAAAGAAAACAACUUCGUUCUACUAAUCUGGAUCUAAGGCAAAUUUUAUAGUAGCAAAAACUUAUUUAAGUUGGUUAAACGGAUAGAGGGUUUCGAGACAAAACUCCAGGCGCUUGAAUCGCCUGAUUCCGAUAAACGAGCGAAAAGUUAUACUAAAAAGAAAAUCGGAUCAGGAAUCGCGAUCAGAAAAAUCACAGAUUUAAUCCGAGAAAAAGAAAAACGACGAACGCUCGCUAAAUUAAAUAAACCGGAAAAACCGAUCUAUUUAAUAAACGAAACUAAAAAAAACUAACGGAAAAACGAUGGAAAAACCGAAUGGUUUUCCGGAAAAAAACGGCGCGGAAAAUGAGGCGGCGGCGGACCUCGGCGGCGGCGUCCGGCGGCGCGGCGGCAGCGGCGGCUUGGGGCUGGGGCGGCUAGGGUUUGGCCCGGGGUGGGCUGGCUUAUAAAGCCUAGUGGGCCGGGAGUCCUAGUCGGACACGGCCCCUAGGUCGGUUCGUUUUUUUAAAUAUUAUGUACAGAAGAAAAAUAAAAAGAAAUACUAAAGGACUCCAAAAAAUCCGAAAGAAAUUUUCACGGGCUUCUAAAAUCAAGACUCAAAAGGUGAACAUUUAUUUGGGGCCUAAAUGAAAUUUUGAAAACGCACAUUUUUCCUAAAUUCAAAUAAAAUAACGAAAAACUCCAAAAUAAAAUCUUAUUUGAUUUUAUUAUUAAAUCCUCAAUAUUUCUUUAUUUUGUGAAAGUCAUUUUAUUCCCUCUCUCAUAUUUUUGUAAUAGAAAUAAUUGAUGAUAAAAUAAAUAAAAUCAGAUGAUCCUAUUCUCAAAAUUUGAGAAAACUCAAAUAUGAAAAUAACGAAAUCCCCAACUCUCUCCGUGGGUCAUUGAGUUGCGUAGAAUUUCUAGGAUCAACCAAAAUGCAAAAUAAAAUAUGGUAUGCAAUGAUGAUCUAAUGUAUAACAUUCCAAAUUGAAAAUUUGGGAUGUUACAAACCUACCCCCCUUAAGAUGAAUCUCGCCCUCGAGAUUCGGGUUGGCUAGAAAAUAGGUGAGGGUGGUCCUUGAGCAAAUCUUCCUCUCGUUCCCAGGUUGCUUCAUCCUCUGUGUGGUGGCUCCACUGAACUUUGCAAAACUUGAUAACCUUGCCGCGGGUGACUCGAUUGGCAAACUCGAGAAUCUUAACGGGUCUCUCGUCAUAGGUCAAAUCGUUAUCCAACUAAAUAGUUUCCAAAGGCACUGUGUCUCUCAACGGUAUGUCAGCCAUCUCCGCAUGACACUUCUUCAACUGGGAAACGUGGAACACAUCAUGAACUCCUGACAAUCCUUCAGGUAAUUCCAACUUGUAGGCCACUUCUCCCAUACGCUCCAAAACUCGGUCCUAAAAAUCGUGGCGCUAACUUCCCUUUAACUCCAAAACGCUUUGUUCCCCGAAGUGGAGAUACUCGAAGAUAAGCUCUAUCUCCGACUUCGUAAACUGUCUCCUUGCAUUUAUAAUCUGCAUAACUCUUCUGCCUGGACUGGGCUAUCUUGAGCCUAUCGCGAAUCAAUUUCACCUUCUAUUCAGACUCUUUAAUCAAGUCAGGUCCAAACAACUGGCGGUCUCCAACUUCGUCCCAUGACAACGGUGUCCCGCACCUCCUUCCGUACAAGGCUUCGAAAGGGGCCAUCUUUAAACUAGUUUGGUAACUGUUGUUGUAAGAGAACUCUGCAUAUGGCAAAUUAUCGUCCCAACUAGAUCCAUAAUCUAGCGCGCAUGCUCUCAACAUAUCCUCCAAAAUCUGAUUGACUCUCUCGGUCUGUCCAUCUGUGUGUGGAUGAAAAGUUGUACUGAAUUCUAGCCUGGUACCCAAAGUUUCGUGCAACUGCUUCCAGAACUUUGAGGUAAACUAGGUUCCUCUAUCUGGAUACUCCUUGGAACUCCAUGCAAACAUACGAUCCUGGUCAUGUAUAUAUUUGCCAACUUAGCACUAUUGUAAGUGGUCUUUACCGGGAUGAAAUGAGCUAACUUCGUCAAUCGAUCGACUACAACCCAAAUUGAGUCAUAGCCUGAACGAGUCCUGGGUAAUCCCGUGAUAAAAUCCAUGCCUAGCUUAUCCCACUUCCAUUCGGGUAUCGGCAAUGGUUGUAACAAUCCUGCUGGCUUCUGAUGCUUUGCCUUUACUCUCUGACAUACAUCACAAACUGCUACAUACUCCGCAAUAUCCUUCUUCAUUCCGGUCCACCAGAAAAUAUCCUUCAAAUCCAAAUACAUCUUGGUAUUUCCUGGGUGAAUCGAAUAUGGUGAGUCGUGUGCCUCUUGCAGUAUCAACUUCCUGAUCUCCGGGUCAUUGGGCACAUAAACACGGUCUUCAAACCAUAGGGUGUCGUGCUCAUCCUCACGAAAUCCUUUAGCUUUUCCUUUGCUCAGUUUCUCCUUUAUAGCGGCAAUCUCUUUGUCAGUCUUCUGAGCUUCUCUGAUUCUAUCCAUCAAGGUUGACUGAAUCUCCAAUGUUGCUACAUAGCCUCUCAGAACUAUUUCCAAACAUAGUUCACGAAGAUUUUCUGCUAACUCCUUGGGUAUUUCUCCCGUCAUUAAUGUAUUGACAUGGCUCUUACGGCUUAAUGCGUCAGCUACUACAUUAGCCUUUCCGGGAUGGUAUUGCAAUCUCAUAUCAUAAUCCUUGAUGAGCUCCAACCAUCUCCUUUGUCUGAGAUUCAACUCCUUCUGUGUGAAAAUGCACUUCAAACUCUUAUGAUCUGUGUACACCUCACAAUGGUUUCCAAUGAGGAAAUGCCUCCAUGUUUUCAAAGCAUGCACUACGACUGCUAACUCCAAAUCAUGCAUGGCAUAGUUCAACUCAUGAGGCUUCAGUUGUCUUGAGGCAUAUGAAAUAACUCUCCCUUCCCGCAUAUGCACUGCUCCAAGUCCUCGACGUGAAGCGUCGCAGUACACCUCAUAAUCUUUGGUCUGGUCUGGCAAAAUCAACACUGGUGAGGUAACCAAGCGUUUCUUCAACUCAUGGAAACUAGCCCCACAUUCCUCCGUCCAUAUGAACUUGGUAUCUUUCUUUAACAACUCAGUCAUAGGCUUCGCAAUCUUUGAGAAAUUCUCAAUAAAUCUCCGGUAGUAUCCUGCGAGUCCAAGAAAACUUCGGAUCUCUCCAACCGUGGUUGGUGCUUCCCACUUGGUCACGGUAUCAACUUUAGUGGGAUCAACUGCUAUACCUUCUCCAGAUAUAACGUGUCCGAGGAAUCCUACUUCCUUCAACCAAAACUCACAUUUGCUGAACUUGGCAUAUAAUUGAUGUUCUCUGAGCUUUCCAAGUACCAAACGCAAACGCUCCUUGUGUUCCUCUUCAUUCUUCGAAUAAACCAGGAUAUCAUUAAUGAACACUACGACGAACUUAUCCAAAAACUCCAUAAAUACUUUGUUCAUCAUGUUCAUAAAAUAGGCAGGUGCGUUAGUCAGACCAAAUGACAUAACGGUAUACUCGUACAGCCCAUACCUGGUGGUAAAAGCUGUCUUAGGAAUAUCCUGUUCUCGAAUCUUCAACUGGUGGUAUCCUGAUCGCAGAUCGAUCUUGGAAAAUAACUUAGCUCCUUGCAAUCGAUCAAACAGAUCAUUGAUCAUUGGUAGUGGGUACUUGUUCUUGAUCGUUACUUCAUUCAAUCCUCGAUAAUCAACAACCAUCCUUAAUGAUCCAUCCUUCUUUUCUACUAGAAGUACUGGCGAUCCCCAAGGCGAAGAACUUGGGCGAAUAUAUCCCUUAUCCAGUAACUCCUUAAUCUGCUUCUUAAUUUCCACCAAAUCCUUUGCUGGCAUCCUAUAUGGUCUCUUUGAUAUUGGCCCUAUGCCUGGCAAUAGCUCAAUUAAAAACUCAAUAUCUCUAUCCGGUGGCAUGCCUGGCAACUCCUCUGGAAAUACUUCAGGGAAAUCCCUUACCACUCAUACUUCCUCCUGCACAACUCCUGUUAGGCAAUUUACUUGAGUCCUCUUUGGCACAUGCCGGGAUACAUACUUGAUCCUUCUCCCUUCUGGUGUGGUAAGCAAAAUUGACUUACUAGCGCAUUCAAUAUUCCCUUCAUACUUUGAUAACCAAUCCAUGCCUAAUAUCACAUCCAAUCCUUGAGAUUCCAAGACUAUUAGGUCUGAGGGAAAAACAUAGCUACCAAUCCUUAAUGGUAACCGAUCACACCAUAGACUGGCCAUAUAUUCUGCUCCAGGCGAGGUUACUAACAUGGGUGACCUAAGGGCUUGGGUUGAUAGGUUAUACUUAUCCACAAAUCCCCUUGAGAUGUAUGAAUGCGAUGCACCAGUAUCAAAAAGAACGAGUGCAGUAAAUGACUUAACCAAAAACUUACCUAUUACUGCAUCGGGCUGAGCUUCAACCUCCUCCACGCUAACGUGGUUCACCUGUCCCCUGUUGAAAGGGUUCGGCUUCUUUCCAGAACUUCCAUUGCCAUUUUGGCCUUCAGGACAUUCAUUGACAUAAUGUCCGGUCUUCUAACACUUAAAGCAAGUGACUUGGCUCAGGUCCUUCUUGGCUGGGGUUGAUGGGUUGGCGCGAUUCUGUCCAUUGCUUCCUCCAUUGCCAUUUCCAUUCUUGGUGCCAUUGUGAUUGUGCGAGCUACCUCCUCCAUGGGUAUCCUGAAAAUAUUCUCCCGAUCUAGGGGUAAAACGUGGCUUCUGCUGAGCUCCUGAAGUGUAAUUUCCUUGUCCAUACUUCCUCUUGCGAUUCUCAAUUUGCUGCUGCUUCCCUUCAAUCAUAAGAGCAUGAUCUACCAACUCCUGGUAGUUGUUGAAGGUGGCUACCAUCAACUGCAUGCUCAACGCAUCAUUCAGUCCUUCCAGAAACUUCUCCUGCUUAGCUGCAUCCGUAGCGACGUCAUCUGGGGCAUAACGUGCUAACUUACUAAAGUCCUCCACAUACUGGCCAACUGUCCGUCCUCCUUGGCGCAAGUUGCGAAACUCUUCUUCAUGGCCAUAGCUCUUGCUGAAACAUGGGCAGUACGAAAAGCCUGUUGAAAUUGGUCCCAUGUGACAGUGUCGACAGGGAAAGUGGCUGUGAAAUUCUCCCACCAUGAUGCUGCGGGUCCUUCAAGCUGAUGUGCGGCAAACUUCACCUUCUCCGCAUCCGUACAUCCUGCUGUGGUCAACUCUCUAGCUGUCUUGCGGAGCCAAUCAUCUGCUACUAUCGGCUCGGUGCUACUGGAAAACACCAGCGGAUUCAGCCUAAGUAAUCGGGCUAAGUGAUCAACAGGUGGUGGUGGUGGUGGUGGGUUCUUGUUGUUGUUCCCCUGAUUCUGAUUCUGGACUAGCAACUGCAUCAAUGUGUUCUGCUGCUGGAUCAACUGGGUGAGCUCCGGUGGAAAGGCAAAUCCGAGGUCACGUCUCGGAGGCAUCUGAGGGUUUUAGAAAAGAUGAGAUGUAAGAAUAGAGGGGGUCUAAAGAGAAAACACUACCCAUAUGCACAUGAGGGAAAAACAAACAAUUCACUUCAUUCAAUCAAACAAGGGCAUACAAUCGAUCUAACUAUCGCCAAAGGUGCUCAGACUACUAUAUUUACAUGGUGGACUACUGCUACUGAUGAGGUGGUCUACUAGAAAUAUUCUUCGGUUGCAGACUCCAUGAUAUCUGCUCCAGCUUCAUCAACAUAGUCAUCAUCGCUACUAUCUGGAUCCAAGUCGGUGUCGUCGAUGAUGAUGUAGUCUUCCGGGCUAAUCUCCUUGGGUUCUUCAUCUUCAUCUACUAGUGUAGGGCCUCCCAUAAAUAUUCCAAUCUUCUUGAUCAGGUCGUCAUUCUUCUCCACCAAUACUUCAAUUUCCUCUUCAUAAUCUUCACGUGUAGCCUUGAGUUCUUCCUCCAGUUCCUUGAUUCUAGUCUUAGCCUUCUUCAGAUCUAUGAUGUCGGCACACAUCUGGUUCUCCCGUCGUCGAAUGUGCUGGUUUAGCUCCUGGAUAAAAGCUGCGAUUGAUCUAUCCUUCCUGGUGCUGAUCGUCUCCCAGUGUUCAUCUCGGCGCCCACAAAUCUGGUAGAUAGUAUCCUUGAGAUCCUUGCGGUAGACUUCUCCAGUGCGUCCCAUGGCGAUGUGAGCUGCCAUGCUCUUUCCUAGACUCCAAGUUGGUGCAUCAAAAGAAAACUCUAUGGGCUCAGUGACUGGCAUGAACGUCCUUCCUGGAACUUGAACUUGAAUCAUCCAGCGCUCUUCUUCAGGUAAAGUGGCGUUGUAGGUUCUGGUGAAGCUUGGUACUCCUAUGUUCAGGUAUCUAGUGACUUCCUUCAAGUGACGUCCAAAGGGUGUAUCUUCAUCCGGUUGCGUGAACUUGUUCCUUGCAUCUGCCAUCCUAAAAGAGUAGAAAAGAUGAGAAGUCAGAAGAGAAGAGAGUGAAUAGUGAUCUAGGUCUUUUAGCUUAGUGGUCGUGUCCUACAGUCAGCGUGUGUUUUGAUACCAUCUCUGUAGCGACUAGACCUCAAACAGUCUGAUCUCUGUGCUCCGGUGUCAUCCCUGGAUCAGUAAUGCUGACACCACACAGUACUCGGAGGAUUUAUAACAGAGUAGCAAUCACACACUUAUUACAUCGAGGGUCUCCAUAGAGAAUUUAUUACAAUAAAUAUGGCUUAAGGCCAUCUAAUAACGAUAACAGCGGAAGGCUUGGAAGAUAAGUGAGUCCAUCAACUCCAACGGCAUCACUGAGUAUAGAACCACGACCUAAAAACUCCUUAAUCGUCGUCUAAAAAGUCUGCAACAUUAACGUUGCAGCCCGAAAUGGGUUAGCACAUGGAAUAUGCUGGCAAGGUAACACAUAGAGAGUAAUGGAAUGAAACAGCUAUACUAUAUGCAUAUUUGGCUGGUGGAAAGCUCUAUGGUUAUAGUUUUGCGCAAAGCCAAUUUUUCCCUACUUCAAAGGAAUAAAUUUAUUUAACUAUCAUGGUAGUUGUUAAACAUUGAGAAUGGUUGACAGCAUUCUCAAUCCCAAUUAAGCAUCAUCAUUAAACAAAACCCAACCGGAUUAAUUUUAGAGUAACAUGUUGAGAUUCACAUGAAAAUCCAGGUACUAGAUACUCAAGAUGUCCAUAACCGGGGACAUGGCUAAUCAUGAUUAGUUUAUUACACUCUGCAGUGGUUUGCGCACUUUUCCCCACAAGACUCGAUCGCCUCCGUUUGGUUUCUCGCACUGCAAGGUGUUUGAGAAGACGGAUGACCGAGACAUAGUCUUUCAUAAGCGCUAGCACCUUACGACCGGGUAGACCGUACCACCUACAUCCCCUACAUCUGCUAGUCUACCACUGUAAGAGUUCGCACGACUUAGUCAACUAUGCUAGAGCCCAUAAUAGCUUGUGGCUGCACACAGAAGUUUCUAAUAUGAAUAGUCUCAUGAUCCCUUUGAGUCUGGGUGGCGGUCCAAAAGAAAAUAGGCAAGUCCUGGAAUACCCAGGUGCCUCAAUCCACCCAGAUGUGUGUUUAAGUUGCCACCUUAGAUAAACCAUUAAUUAACAAACUCACAUCUGUCAUGGAUAUCACUCACCCAAUCCACGUCUACUAGCAUAGCAUGGCAUAAUAAGCAAACGCAGAAGUAACUCCCAAAGGUUUGAUAAUAAACAGGUAAUAGGUACUACCUCAACUACUUCCCAUCCCACAAUUUAAUUAGAUCCUAAUCAUGCAAUGUGUGAGGAUUGAUCUAAUGCAAUAAAACUGGGUAGUAGGAAAGGUAUGAUCAAAGUGUUACUUGCCUUGCUGAUGAUCCGGGAAACCUAGCGAUUCGAAGUAACAAGCGGCGCACUCUGGGUAUUCUAUCAUAGACAAACAAACAAGCAUACAAUAAGUACUCAUCUAAUGCACAGGUAAAACUCAAAUAAGAGAUCUAACCAGAAGAUUCAACUUAAGAACUCCGGUUUGCAAAAAGAAUCAAAUCGAACGAAGCAACGAAAGUCAAACGGCGAAAGAAAACAACUUCGUGCUACUAAUCUGGAUCUAAGGAAAAUUUUACAGUAGCAAAAACUUAUUUAAGUUGGUUAAACGGAUAGAGGGUUUCGAGACGAAACUCCAGGCGCUUGAAUCGCCUGAUUCUGAUAAACGAGUGAAAAGUUAUACUAAAAAGAAAAUCGGAUCAGGAAUCACGAUCAGAAAAAUCGCGGAUUCAAUCCGAGAAAAAGAAAAACGACGAACGCUCGCUAAAUUAAAUAAACCGGAAAAACCGAUCUAUUUAAAAAAACCGAAACUAAAAAAAUCGGCGAAAAAACCGACGGAAAAACCGAACGGUUUUCCGAAAAAAACCCGGCACGGAAAACGAGGCGGCGGCGGACCUCGGCGGCGGGUCGGCGGCGGCGGCGUCCGGCGGUGGCGNNNNNNNNNNNNNNNNNNNNNNNNNNNNNNNNNNNNNNNNNNNNNNNNNNNNNNNNNNNNNNNNNNNNNNNNNNNNNNNNNNNNNNNNNNNNNNNNNNNNNNNNNNNNNNNNNNNNNNNNNNNNNNNNNNNNNNNNNNNNNNNNNNNNNNNNNNNNNNNNNNNNNNNNNNNNNNNNNNNNNNNNNNNNNNNNNNNNNNNNNNNNNNNNNNNNNNNNNNNNNNNNNNNNNNNNNNNNNNNNNNNNNNNNNNNNNNNNNNNNNNNNNNNNNNNNNNNNNNNNNNNNNNNNNNNNNNNNNNNNNNNNNNNNNNNNNNNNNNNNNNNNNNNCUGGCUUAUAAAGCCUAGUGGGCCGGGAGUCCUAGUCGGACACGGCCCCUAGGUCGAUUCAUUUUUUAAAAUAUUAUGCGCAGGAGAAAAAUAAAAAGAAAUACUAAACGGACUCCAAAAAAUCCGAAAUAAAUUUUCACGGGCUUCUAAAAUCAAGCCUCACAAGGUGAACAUUUAUUUGGGGCCUAAAUGCAAUUUUGAAAAACGCACAUUUUUCCUAAAUUCAAAUAAAAUAACGAAAAACUCCGAAAUAAAAUCUUAUUUGAUUUUAUUAUUAAAUCCUCAAUAUUUCUUUAUUUUGGGAAUUCAUUUUAUUCCCUCUCUCAUAUUUUUGUAAUAGAAAUAAUUGAUGAUAAAAUAAAUAAAAUAAAAUGAUCCUAUUCUCAAAAUUUGAGAAAACUCAAAUAUGAAAAAUAACGAAAUCCCCAACUCUCUCGGUGGGUCAUUGAGUUGUGUAGAAUUUCUAGGAUCAACCAAAAUGCAAAAUAAAAUAUGGUAUGCAAUGAUGAUCUAAUGUAUAACAUUCCAAAUUGAAAAUUUGGAACGUUACAAUCGAGAGGGCCCGAACCUGGGUAAAACUUUGUGUCCCCCGAUCUCGUGGUAGAUCUACUCUUGUACUACCCAUAUCAUCAAUAUUAAUCAAGCAGGACGUAGGGUUUUACCUCCAUCAAGAGGGCCCGAACCUGGGUAAAACUUCGUGUCCCUUGCCUCCUGUUACCAUCCGGCCUAGACGCACAGUUCGGGACCUCCUACCCGAGAUCCACCGGUUUUGACGCCGACAUUGGUGCUUUCAUUGAGAGUUCCUCUGUGUCAUCGCCGUCAGGCUCGAUGGCUCCUACGAUCAUCAAAAGCGAUGCAGUCCAGGGUGAGACCUUCCUCCCCGGACAGAUCUUCAUCUUCGGUGGCUUCGCACUGCGGGCCAAUUCACUUGGCCGUCUGGAGCAGAUCGAAAGCUACGCCCCUGGCCGUCAGGUCAGAUUCAGAAGUUUAAACUACACGACUGACAUCCACGGAGACUUGAUCUUCGACAGAUUCGAGCCACUGCUGAGCGCGCCGCUCUCUCAUGACGAGCAUGAUUUAGCUCUGCCGCCGGAUAGUGCCCUGGAGGCCGCACCCGCGUCAGCUCUGACCCCUAAUUCGGAGCCGACUACGCUGAUCGAGGAUGGGUGGUUGGGCGCCACCUCGGGGGCUGCGACCCUAACAGCGAUUGAGCCAAACACCAGCACCGUACUCUGCGAGACUCGUGACUCCAAGGAGCCGGACUCCUCUCCAGACUCCGAACCCUGCGCGCCCCUGCCGAUCGAAUCCGGUUGGGCGCCGAUUAUGGAGUUCACUGCCGCGGACAUCUUUCAGCACUCGCCUUUGGGCGAUAUCCUGAAGUCAUUGAAGUCUCUCUCUUUAUCAGGAGAGCCCCGGCCGGACUACGGUCAACAAGGUUGGGGUACGGACGAUGAAGAAAUUCAAAGCCCACCCACCACCCACUUCGUAGCCACUAUCGACGACUUAAAUGACAUGCUCGACUUCGACUCCGAAGACAUCGACGGUAUGGACGCCGAUGAAGGAGAUGAUGAAGAACCAGCGCCUACUAGGCCCUGGAAAGCCACCUCGUCAUAUGACAUAUACAUGGUGGACACCCCAAAAGAGGGAGAUGGCGAUGGAACAGCGGAGGAUGACCCCUCCAAGAAACAGCCCAAGCGCCAGCGUCAGCGGCGCCGCUCAAAAACCCGCCAAAACAAACACGGUGAUUCCAGCACGGGAGAUAAUAAUACUCCAGAAAGCGCCAAAGAAAACCCCCUCCAGCAAGAUUUAGCACAGGAGGAUGGAGAAACUAGCCCUCAUGAGAGAGCGGUAGACAGAGAGGACGAGGACGAUAAUUAUAUGCCUCCCUCCGAAGACGAGGCAAGCCUCGAUGACGACGAAUUCGUCGUGCCAGAGGAUCCCGUCGAGCAAGAGCGUUUUCAAUGCAGGCUUAUGGCCAUGGCAAGAAGCCUCAAGAAAAAAUAGCAACAGCUUAAAGCUGAUCAAGAUUUGCUAGUCGACAGAUGGACUGAAGUCCUCGCGGCCGAAGAGCAUAAACUCGAACGCCCCUCCAAGAGCUACCCAAAGCGCAGGUUGCUACCCCAAUUAGAGGAGGAAGCACUUGAUGCGGCCGACCGGCCACCUCGUGGCCGCGACAGAGAGGCCUCUCGGCCCUCCACUCAAGCCGCACCCCGUACCAAGGCACGGGAAUAUGCGUUGGACUUACGAGAUAUGUUGGAGGACAAGGCAAGGCAAACAAGAUCGAUUUACGGAUCGCGUGGGUGCCCCACGGCUCGAGACGGUAACUAUCACGCCGACCACAAAUUCGGCAGGGCCGAACACAGUAGACAAGGCUCAUUGGAGCUACGUCAUGAUAUAGCCUAGUACAGAGGCGCCGCACACCCACUCUGCUUUACAGACGAAAUAAUGGAUCAUCAAAUCCCCGAGGGUUUCAAACCCAUAAACAUCGAAUCAUAUGAUGGCACAACAGAUCCUGCGGUAUGGAUCGAGGAUUAUCUCCUUCAUAUCCACAUGGCCCGCGGCGAUGAUUUCCACGCCAUCAAAUACCUCCGACUCAAGCUUAAAGGACCAGCUCGGCAUUGGCUUAACAGCUUGCCAACAUGAUCAAUCAGUUGUUGGGAGGACCUAGAAGCCGCAUUCCUCGACAAUUUCCAGGGCACUUAUGUGCGACUCCCAGACGCCGAUGACCUACGUCACAUAAUUCAGCAGCCAGAGGAAUCAGCCAGGCAAUUCUGGACACGGUUCCUAAAAAAGAAAAAUCAAAUAGUCGACUGUCUGAAUGCUGAGGCCCUAGCAGCCUUCAAGCACAAUAUCCGCGACGAGUGGCUGGCCCGGCACCUUGGACAGGAAAAGCCGAAAUCUAUGGCAGCACUCACGACACUCAUGACCCGCUUUUGCGUGGGAGAAGACAGCUGGCUUGCUCGUAGCAACAAUAUGACCAAGAACCCUGGUAAUUCGGACAUUAGGGACAGUAGUGGCAGGUCGCGUCGCAACAAGCAGAAGCGCCGCAUUAACGGUGACAAUGCUGAGGAUACGACAGUUAAUGCCGGAUUCAGAGGCUCUAAAUCCGGUCAGCGGAAAAAGCCAUUCAAAAGGAAACCUAGGGGCCUGUCCAGUUUGGACCGGAUACUCGACCGCUCAUGCCAGAUACAUGGCACCCUCGAAAAGCCAGCCAAUCACACCAACAGGGAUUGUUGGGUGUUCAAGCUGGCAGGCAAGUUAAACGCCGAAAAUGAAGACAAGGGGCUGCAUAGCGAUGACGACGAGGAGCCCCGGCCGCCGAAUAACAGUGGACAGAAGGGUUUUCCCCCACAAGUGCGGACGGUGAACAUGAUAUACGCAACCCACGUCCCCAAAAGGGAGCGGAAGCGCACGUUAAGGGACAUAUACGCGGUAGAGCCAGUCGCCUCAAAGUUCAACCCAUGGUCCUCCUGCCCGAUCACCUUUGAUCGAAGGGACCAUCCCACUAGCAUCCGUCAUGGCGGAUUCGCCGCAUUGGUUCUAGACCCAAUUAUUGACGGAUUUCAUCUCACUAGAGUCCUUAUGGACGGCGGCAACAGCCUGAACCUGCUUUACCAGGAUACAGUGCGGAAAAUGGGAAUAGAUCCCUCGAGGAUUAAGCCCACCAAAACGAUCUUUAAAGGCGUAAUACCAGGUGUAGAGGCCAACUGUACAGGCUCAGUCACACUGGAAGUGGUCUUCGGAUCUCCGGAUAAUUUCCGAAGCGAGGAGUUAAUCUUCGACAUAGUCCCAUUUCACAGUGGUUAUCACGCACUGCUUAGGCGAACCGCAUUCGCUAAGUUCAAUGCGGUACCGCAUUACGCAUACCUUAAGCUCAAGAUGCCAGGCCCUCGAGGAGUAAUUACGGUCAAUGGAAACACCAAACGCUUCCUCCGAACAGCGGAGCACACGGCGGCCCUUGCAGCGGAAGUACAAAGCAGCCUCUCCAGGCAGUUCUCCAGUCCGGCCACUAAACGACCGGACACCGUCAAGCGCUCCUGGAGUAACCUACAACAAGACCGCCUGGCACGAUCUGAGCAGGUGUAGCAAUGCGGCCCCAACCCCAAUCCUUGCAAAAAGGCGACGCCAGUACUUCACGUACAUAACUACGCUCUAGAGAUACCAUGGGCAUAGGGGAGGGGCACCAUCAUGGCACGCCCAAAACACGACUUAAACCGUACCAGGGGCUGCCGAUUUUUUAAUCUUCUCUUACUUUCAGGACUUCAUUCUUCGGAAGGCCUGUUCGGCAGUUCAAUUGCCGCACAAAUGAUGCAAGAACCAGGGAAGCAGACAAGCCAACGCCGCAUUACGGAACUCCUAGGUGGUCUCUAUCACGAGCAGUAUACCCGUUUCGCAUACUAUUCUGCAGCUUGCCCCUGGAACGGACAUGUUAACUAGUCCAACCUUCCACUUAUCGCAUUACUUGUAUCGUUCUGCCUAGAUCGCACCGUUUUUUAAUAAACAAUGCAUAGCUUUCAUCUAUUUUUGCAUUACCUUUUUUUCUUUAUAUAUGUUCCUUAACGACAUGUUGCACCCGUACACGUUGGUACGGCCAAAAUACGCUAGGGGCUUUAGUAUCCCUCAAUAUGGUGUGAGAAGUCCGAACACUUUAACAAGUGCGGCACCCCGAACUUAUAGCAUUAUAUGCAUCGGCUCCGAAUCAUGUCUUGGGUCAAUAGUUGGGUUUGCCCGGCUCCUAUGUUUUGGUGCCUUACGUUCCGCUAUAUCGGCUAAGGUAGCACUAGGAGAACCACUGCGAUUGUGCCCCAGUUGAGCUGGGUCGAGCACCUCAGUGGAGAAAGCUAAAACUGACUGUCAUGAUGAGGCGAGAGCUGGUCGCUGUUCAAGAGGUUUUUUCGAGUCCCUAAAGACUUAUGCUGCUUUGGGCGAGAAACCGGUUCUGUCCGGCCAAGGCGUGGAUAGCGCCCCGAACUCAGUCUUCCGAAUACCAGGGGCUUCACCGAAAUUUAAAAUUAUAGAAUUCUAUGGCUAAGUGAGAGUGUUCACGCAUUAUAGUCCGAUUGCCUUGUUCGUUGGGAUGAGCGCCUCCCUCGAAGGACCCAGACAUGGGAAAAAGAGCGCUCAUGUUUAUCCCCGAACACCCCAGCACUAGCAGCACGGGGGCAGAAGCCGACGACUCGCCAUCUCUCAGAAUUGAUAAACAGCCGCAUAGAAGGUAAUAUUUUAAAUUCAAACAGCAUUGCUUAGCGCAUAUGAACAAGUUUUCAGCGCACAGGACAAAACGAGCGAGUUUUACUCAAAAAUUACAUCCAUAGAACAUUCAUCCGCCACAAGGCGGGCACCCUUCAGAACAUCCUUAUAAUAAUUCUCGGGCUUGCGAUGCUCUUUCCCCGGCGGUGGCCCAUCCUUCACAAGCUUCUCAGAAUCCAGCUUGCCCCAGUGCACCUUAGCACGGGCAAGGGCCCUACGGGCACCUUCAAUGCAGACGGAGUGCUUGAUGACUUCGAGCCUUGGACAGGCCUCCACCAGCCGCCGCACCAGCCCGAAAUAGCUUCGAGGCAGAGCCUCUCCAGGCCACAACUGAACUAUGAGGCCCUUCAUGGCCUGUUCGGCCGCCUUGUGGAGCUCGACCAGUUGCUUUAGCUAGUCGCUCAGGGGCACGGGGUGUCCGGCCUCAGCGUACUGAGACCAGAACACCUUCUCCGUCAAGCUGCCCUCCUCGGCUCUAUAGAAUGCGGCGGCAUCGGACACACUCCGGGGAAGAUCUGCGAACGCUCCUGGAGAGCUCUGGAUUCGGUUAAGUAACAAGUAAGUCACGUUUAUGUGUUUGCUUUGCAUAAAGAAUGCCUUACCCUCCGCUAUUUUCUUCACCUCAUCCAACUCCUGGAGGGUCUUCUGGGAUUCGGCCUUGGCAGACUUGGCAUUUUCAAUAGCCACCGCGAGCUCGGACGCUCACGUCUUUGAGUCAAGCUCCAAACUCUCAUGUUUUUCCAUGAGAGCCUGGAGCUCUUGCCGUACCUUGCCAACCUCGGCCUCAUACUUCUCCCGCUCGGUGCGUUCCGUGGCCGCCGUCUUCUCGGCCUCGAGCAGCGCUUGCUUAAGGGUCGCCACCUCAGACGUGGCCCCUACAAUAGCCACGAUAAUCCUGUCAUUUUUUUGGCAAUUGCACCUUUUUAUAUAUAUUUUUAAACAAGGUAUUUGUUACCUUUGUUGUCCUUGAGCUGCUUCUUGGCACGCCCGAGCUCUUGCUCGGACCGCUCGAGGUUCUGCUUUAGCGUGUCCACUUCUGCAGUCAGUGCGGCGGACGCCAGCAGGGAAGCCUGCACACGCAUAUUGACUCCUUUUUGUUAGACUCCUGCGAAUUUUAUUUUGAUCCUCUAUUCGGCUUUUCUUCCCGAACGCCAAACAGAGCAUCAGGGGCUACUGUCUAUGCGGUAAUAUUAUUUACACAUUCUUUACUUACCUCAAAGCCUGUUAAAAGGCUAGUACAAGCUUCUGUCAGUCUGCUCUUGGCGGACUGAACCUUCUGGACCACCGCACUCAUAAUGGUGCGGUGCCCCUCGUCGAUGGAGGCGCCUUGGAGCGCCUCCAACAGAUUGUCAGGCGCCUCCGGUUGGACGGAGGUCACCGGCACGGUGGGCUUGCUCCUCUUGGAAGGAGGUCCCCCGCCGGACUCUGGAACCUUUGAAGGUUCCGGAGCGGUGUCUAGCCCAGGGCCGGACUUGGAGCCCUGGGGGGUUUCACCCCCUUUACUCCUGGAGUUCGGGAGGUCGCCUCGCAGCGCCUCCAGGACCACCUCCUCCCGGAUUGGAACCUAUUGGGACAACACUUUGGUGUCGUCUGUAGGGCGGGGGGAGGAGGCCGUCGGAAGCGAGUUGACGUCCGACGAGUCCAGUGAGCCGCUCGACGACGUGUUGAGCCGGUCUUUGGGUGGGCUGCAUAAACACAUUCGACAUAAGGGAAAGCUGUGCAAUAAACGAAUACUAUGAAUUACUCUAGUAUCCGGAUACUUACGAUUUCGCCAGGGGCUUGGCCCUGGGCGCACACUCCUCUCUGCCAUCGUCGGCGUCGGUGGAGUAGUUCGGAGGAAGGGUUUUCCCCUUCUUGGACCCUUCGGCCUCCCCAGUUGGGGCGGCCUUCCUUUUCUUCCCUUCCCCCGCUGGAGGGGGAGGGGUCUCUUCUUCCUCCUCCCCGUCUUCACGGGAGGAAUGCGCCUCGGAACCGUCGGAUGAUGGAUCCGACACUUCCUGGCGUCGGGCACUCUUUCGAGUCCCCAUGGCCUUUUUUGCGGCCUUCUUCUCCGGCACCACAUAGGGUGCCGGAACCAGCAGCUUCGCCAAGUGAGCGUCCGCUGGGCCUUCGGGCAAAGGAGCCGGACAGUUGAUCUGUCCGAAUGUCACCUGCCAAUCCUGUCAAAGGUAAGGGAGUUUAGAUCCCGCAUGGAGUCAAACUAUGAAAAACUGAUACCUUGUAAAAGGAAAAAACAGCUUACCGUGAGAGCAUGACGCUGCGCACUGAAUCCUCGAUCCUCGGUAGCGGAUGCGGGAGCCACGACGCCCUUGAAAAGCACCUUCCAGGCAUCUUCGUACGUCGUGUCGAAGAGCCUGCUCCUAGUUUGGUGCCGCGCCGGGUCGAACUCCCACAGGUUGAAAGCCCAUUGUUGGCACGGGAGGAUCAAGCGGAUGAGCAUAACCUGGACUACGUUGACAAGUUUGAGCUUCUUGUCCACCAGGGUUUUGACGCAUGUUUGGAGUCCGGUCAGCUCUCCUUUUUUACCCCACGACAGGCCCAUCUCUUUCCAGGACGUGAGCCGCGUUGGGGGUCCGGACCAGAACUCGGGGGCUGCAACCCACUUAGGGUCGCGCGGCUCGGUGAUGUAAAACCACCCCGAUUGCCACCCCUUCAGGGUCUCCACAAAGGAGCCCUCGAGCCAUAGGACGUUGGACAUCUUGCCCACCAUGGCGUCUCUGCACUCCACCUGGUUGCCGUGCACCACCUUCGGCUUGACAUUGAAAGUCUUGAGCCAUAGACCAAAAUGGGGGCGGAUGCGAAGGAAAGCCUCGCACACAACGAUAAACGCCGAGAUGUUGAGGACAAAAUUCGGGGCCAGAUCAUGGAAAUCCAGGCCGUAGUAGAACAUGAGCCCCCGGACAAAUGGGUGGAGAGGAAAACCCAGUCCGCGGAGGAAAUGGGGGAGGAACACCACCCUCUCAUGGGGCCUAGGGGUGGGGAUGAGCUGCCCCUCUUCGAGAAGCCGGUGCGCAAUGUCGUUAGACAGGUAUCCGGCCUUCCUUAGUUUUUUGAUGUGCCCCUCCAUGACGGAGGAGACCAUCCACUUGCCUCCCGCUCCGGACAUGGCUGGAGAAGGUUGAGGUGGGGAGUGCGGACUUGGGCACUGGAGCUCGAGUGCGCAAGAAUGGAUAGGCAAAGGAGGAAGAAGGCGUAGGUGAAAUGGUGGAUCCUUAUCCCCUUAUAUGGGUGGACGCGACUACGCGUCCCCACCAGCCUGGUAAAACUCGCUUAUCUCCCAAGCGCCGUAAUCAAUGGCGCGGUUGGGUUACCCACGCCCAUAUUGAUGAGAAUCCCGGAAUAAGGGGACACGAUCUCUGCUUUAACAAGACGUGCCAAGGAAACCGCCUCGCAUAACGUGCCGAGAUGGGACAGUAAGACGGUUCGAAUGAAAUCUUGGCCGUGGUGUGAUGUCACACUACGGAAUACGUCAGCAGAUUAGAUUUGUGUAAAUAUUAUUCUCUCUAUGGCAAUAUGUGGAAACUUAUUUUGCAGAGCCGGACACUAUCUUUGUGGUCAAAAUCUUCUAUGAAGUACUUGGAGGAGGAGCCCGCCUUGCAAUGCCGAAGACAAUCUACGCGCCGGACUCGUCGUCAUUGAAGCCUGGUUCAGGGGCUACUGAGGGAGUCCUAGAUUAGGGGGUGUUCGGAUAGCCGGACUAUACCUUCAGCCGGACUCCUGGACUAUGAAGACACAAGAUUGAAGACUCUGUCCCGUGUCCGGAAGGGACUUUCCUUGGCGUGGAAGGCAAGCUUGGCGUUACGAAUAUGAAGAUCUCCUACCAUUGUAACCGACUCUAUGUAACCCUAACCCUAUCCGGUGCCUAUAUAAACCAGAGGGUUUUAGUCCGUAGGACGACAUACACAUCAACGAUCAUACCAUAGGCUAGCUUCUAGGGUUUAGCCUCCUCGAUCUCAUGGUAGAUCUACUCUUGUACUACCCAUAUCAUCAAUAUUAAUCAAGCAGGACGUAGGGUUUUACCUCCAUCGAGAGGGCCUGAACCUGGGUAAAACUUGGUGUCCCCCGUCUCCUGUUACCAUCCAGCCUAGACGCACAGUUCGGGACCCCCUACCCGAGAUCCGCCGGUUUUGACACCGACACCCUCCCUCCCACCUCGCUCCACAUCCCGAUCCCGAUCCAGAUCGACAGAGCUUUUGGCAGCUCCUGCUCGGCUGAUCCCCCCACCCAUGAUUCCUCUCCGCCGCCGCCGCCGCCAGGCUCUCCCCCAACCCCACCGGCGACCCCAUCCCCGCCGGCGACCUCUGUCCUUAGUUCCACCCACCCAUGGAUGGAUGGGAUGGGGCGCAUCUGCUCCGGCGACUGCCGCCAGAUUCGCACCCACCCAUGGAUGGAUGGGACGGGACGCAUCUACUCCGGCGACGACGACGCCGCGGUCGGAUUCGCACCCACCUGCAGCGGCUGCUGCACCAGCAGCGCGACGGGAUCUGCCCCCUUCUCAUAGUGGGGCGCGGCACACCACACCACAACAAAGCUUGCUGCUGCGGUGGCCCUCGACGCUGGUGCAUCUCCGACGACCUGGACUAGAGGCCCAAGGUACGUACGCCCUCUCCUACUCCUCCUCCUUGCGCCCCCAUCCAGCUGCCAAGUCAAUCUCCUCUCAUAUGUGGUAGACUCAUGGUGCAGAUUCGACCCCUCCCCCAUUUCCUUUCGUCGAUGCCGGACCAUGACCACGACCACGACCAUGAGUCCAUGACCUCUUCCCAUGCCAUGGUGAGCUCCUCCCCUCCCCCUCUCUGUUGUUUGCUCACUGUUUCAUAUCAAUCCAGCCAUGGAUGGAUCUUCUCCUAUAGUUUGCCAUGGAUUUAUAUUUGUUUCCACUGAUGCUGUUGCUGAUGGAUGCACUCCGGCAUGCUUUGCGUGCUGCUAAACUAUGUGCUUGCUAUUCUUGUUGAUUUCUAGUGUUCGUCAUGGAUGGAUGGUCUGUGGUGCCAUGUAUGUUGAGCUCCUUCAUAGAGGAUCAGAUUACCUAGAUUUGUAGUUUAGUGAUGCCAAGUGAUCUAAAUGUGCGGACCAAAUGAUCUCAUAGUUUAAAUGCACCAUAGUUUUGCAUAACCUCGGUACAUUUACAUGCACACGCAUACACAUUUGACUGCUGAGUGUUUGAAUUAUUGGAAUGUGGGGGUUGGUCUGUUUAUUCCCAUGUUCUUAAGUUUUGUGUAUUUAGACUGUAACUCUUAAGAUAUCACUGUAGCUGUAAGUAGACUGCAAGUUACCAGCAGAUUGUAAUGGCAGUCUAAUUAUCACUUUAAUUUUCUCCCAAAUGAUUGUAAGUGGACUGUACGUUGUGACACUACUGAUGCCAGACCUACAAACAGUAGUUUGAUGGAUUUGUAGGUUUUUUUGGGCUGUGGUAUUACGAUAGUUGUAGCUCACAUGUUUGAAACCAGGUCCAGUUCCAACCCGAUUAGGAUUGGCCUUUUAGCAUGGGAUAGUUGGAUUCCUGUUGUCUCUUGUAGCACCAAAUGCUAGUAUGUGUUUUACUAAAAGUCAUCAGAUAGUUAACUCACUGUGAGAUGUCCACACUUGUUUUGUUAACAAACAUGAACUGUUAAGUCAUCUAUUCCUAGCUAUUGCUUUUGUUCAGUAUAUACGUGUGCUUUCUGUUCUUUCGUUCUAUUCACUAUGUGAGUACAGUUUCUUGUUGGCACCAAGGUGUUUGAGAUGGUCUUCCAGUUGGUGCAUGAGGAAGAGGAAGUGAAGUCAUUGAUUUGUCCAUCGAGGAAGAGGAAGCGUGAAGUCUUUGAUUUGUCUAGAGGGUAAGUCCUCGGUCUGUCCCACUCUUCCUUUGCUAUGUGAUUGUGACCUCCAUGUGUUAUCUACUUAUUUGGACACUUUGGUUCAUAUACUGUUCUUGUGAUUUUCCAAUGCUAUGUCAAAAAUGAAUCUAUAACCUUUAAUGAAUUCAAUGUAUGAUCGUGAUGAAAACGAAUGAAUGAAUGAUAUCAUACCAACUUGUUUUUUGCCCUUGAUCAGUAUCAUUUGUGGUAGCUCCUAAGCAACAUGAUCUUUUUCUUGCUCCGAGAUCCCAAGUGUGGUGUUGUACUUUUGUUGUGCUUGAUUGAUGUCCUGCUAGCUGCUACUGUUAAUUGUUACUGCCAUGAUGUUAACACUGCUUAGAAUAUGUUCUGCACCUUAAUUCUAGUAGUAUUUGUUGUCAAAAGCAUGAUUGUAUUGUGAGCCAUCAAUUUCUUGGAGUCUUCUUAGAGCUUGCUGGUAUUUACUUUUUUCCACCAAUAUAAUAUUUGCUAAUAUUUACUCAUGGUUGCUACUAUUAUCCGUGCCCUCAUGCAUUAGGAUCGACCCCUAGCUGCUUGUGUAUUUGUUUAUUACUCUGUUCAAUAUUCUUUUCCUAGCUGUUGUAUGUUUGAGGAUAUUGCUUUGAUUCUAAAUUCACAGCCAUGAUAAUGAUCGUUUCCUGUCUUUUACAGGAGCUCCAGGCUCAAGAAGUUGGAAAAAGGGAACGCUUCAUCUUUGUAGCUAAUUAUAUGUUCCUGGAUGAUGUGAGUGGCUAUUAUAGUAUUUCAUAGCAACACUUUUGUAGUUGUUCUAAAUUCCUGGAUGAUGUGAACUAUGGCAUGAUUGUAAUAUAUAUAAUAUACUCAUUUUGGUCGCCAUUUAUGAAAAUUUGUGUGAUUGGGGCUCUCUGGACCAAAAUACUGGUUAUUUUAUUGUUGAUACUUUAUUGUUGAUAUGUCGGAAAUGAAACAUAUACUAUUUGGGCCCUAAAAAGGCCACAAAUCAAACAAUUCAGGAAAAAUGAACAAAAUUACUAAAAAAAUCAAUUGUGAAAAGGCGAUGGCCAAGUAAAUAAAAAGGCUGAGGCCCAAAAACGAAAUAGAUCACAAAAAGGCCAUGAUCCAAGAAAUAAAAAGGCUAAAAUGUUGGGCCAGGCCCAUGUAGCUACCGAAAAUAAACAGAAAAAAUAUAUGUUAAAAAGGCUGAAUUAAUGGGCUCGGCCCAUGUAAAACAUCGAAUUGGACCGGGCUGAUUCUUGUGCCACAUCAGAUUGCCACGUCGGAUGCCUACGUGGCCUGGGGAGGCUGCUAGUGACCAAAACAAAACAAUAGGCAUAUUUUGGUCGUAAACUUCCACGACCUUCUCACAGAGAAGGUUGUUA